rnacentral:lncRNA from 1 species
AUUCUGUAUGUAAACACUUAUUCAGAAUUCAGCUUCAUUCUGCGAGGCAGGUCCCGUCGUCACACAGUGUCUCGGUACAUGCCAUAGUUAGUCUGACUCAGUAUCAAAAUAACAACCAAAAAGUAUACUCAAUGAAAGAGUCCGAAUCUUACUUAGAUACAUACAGGAGUCUGAAUCCUACUUAGAUACAUACACCAAGUUCACGUCCAAUGCCACAUCGUACCGGGCCGUGUAUACGUACAUGCCAUUGUCAGUCUGACUCAGUAUUAAAAUAACACCCAGAAAAUAUACUCAAUGAAAGAGUCUGAAUCCUACUUAGAUACAUACAGGAGGCCGAAACCUACUUGGAGGCAGGUAUCGCUGGUGCUACAAAUACACCUGUAUCUCCACGUGAUUCUUACACAAUCUCAAGUCUUCAGUUCAAUCAAAUAGAAUCAGUUUCACACGUCGCCUUCUAGAUACAUUUGGUUCAAUUAAGCUGCUAAGCUCCCAAGUCUGCUUAACAUCAGGUAUUUUCGUUGCGUAUUUUCAUAUACGACAUCCUUCAACAUCUUUUUCUUUUUGCGAAUUCUUCAACAUCUUUAUGAACACCGGUAACUGCCAUGAAAUGAAUAAGUUUAUCAUUAGCAAUUUGAAAUUUCCGAACAAAUAGUACACCAGACCGUACUUUGAGCAACAAAUUUACAAGAUUUUAUAUAUGACACAUUGAAUCAUAUUUAAACAUCAUUGUUGACAAGGAAAAAAUAGAUGCAAUUAUUGGACUAGAUUGCACACUGAACUAACAUAUACAAGUUUAAUCAAUUUUCCAUUUCUAAUAUUUCUUACACUUCCAAAACUCUCAUGCAGGCAAGCAUUUUGAUCACAUUCUCCAGAGAUGGAUGCUAAGGAAAGAAGAAGGAAACAAGACAGAGAGCGCUAUGAACAGAUGGCCAAUGAAAAAAGAGAGGAAAAACUCAAAAAAGGCCGUGAAGCCUAUCAACAAAAGAAAGAAAAAAUAUGCGCACAACAAAGGCAGAUAUAUGCAAAAAUGCAGCCGGAACAAAAGAAAGCUAGAAAAGAACAUAUCAAUGAAUUGAAACGCAACACAGCAAGCAAAGACUCCAUUGCACGGGAGAACCCUGCCUAUAUUGCAACUGAAAAAGAAGUUGGUACUUCUACCUUUCCUGAUUACAGAAAGCAUGUCACACCAGGAGAAAGGCAAACAUUGCUACACCGUCGUAACAAAGAAUUCACGACAAGACAGAGGCAUGUAUCAUCGAAACAAGAUGUAUCUAUGACGGAAACCGGCGACGAUGACACAGAACCUCUACAGCAACCAGAAGAAAUGAUUUACGGUAAUACUCUAAAUUUUACACAAUACUCGCAUUCAAAAUAAAUAUACGAAUGUUUGUAGAACUAACCAUCUUUUAUGGACAGAUAUCCCUAAUCAAUGUUUCCAAGCAUCAAAGAAGCGGAUACACCAACACAGACAUUCUACAAUGACGAUCAAAAUAAGGUGGCAUUGUGGCCAGACAUCCCGUCUUCAAUGUUUCCAGCAAUCAAAGAAGUAGAUGCACGAAUACAAACAUUAUACAAUGAUGUUCAUGGUAAGGUUAUAAAAUUUCUUAUAUAUUUUUAUGCAAUACAAAAAUUACAUAUAUAUAUAUAAAUAAUUAAUUAAUUACUACACAGGUAAGGAUGAGAUUAUAUGUGAGCAUGAUGCAACCAUGAAAGUGAAGGAAAAUGCCCUAGAGGCAAUAAUAAAGUUAUUAUUUAUUUCCUUAUAUCAUGAUAAAUGUUUAUUAUUCAUGCUAAAAUUGUAUUAACCAGAAACAUAAUACAUGUGUGAAUACAUAGACAAACAAAGUAUCACUAGUAUGCCUCUACUUGACUAGCUCGUUAAUCAAAGAUGGUUAUGUUUUCUAACCAUGAACAAUGAGUUGUUAUUUGAUUAACGGGAUCACAUCAUUAAGUGAAUGAUCUGAUUGACAUGACCCAUUCCAUUAGCUUAGCACCCGAUCGUUUAGUAUGUUGCUAUUGCUUUCUUCAUGACUUAUACAUGUUCCUAUAACUAUGAGAUUAUGCAACUCCCGUUUACCGGAGGAACACUUUGGGUGCUACCAAACGUCACAACAUAACUGGGUGAUUAUAAAGGAGUACUACAGGUGUCUCCAAAGGUACAUGUUGGGUUGGCGUAUUUCAAGAUUACGUUUUGUCACUCUGAUUGUCGGAGAGGUAUCUCUGGGCCCUCUCGGUAAUGCACAUCACUUAAGCCUUGCAAGCAUUGCAACUAAUGAGUUAGUUGCGGGAUGAUGUAUUACAGAACGAGUAAAGAGACUUGCCGGCAACGAGAUUGAACUAGGUAUUGGAAUACCGACGAUCGAAUCUCGGGCAAGUAACAUACCGAUGACAAAGGGAACGAUGUAUGUUGUUAUGCGGUCUGACCGAUAAAGAUCUUCGUAGAAUAUGUAGGAGCCAAUAUGGGCAUCCAGGUCCCGCUAUUGGUUAUUGACCGGAGACGUGUCUCGGUCAUGUCUACAUUAUUCUCGAACCCGUAGGGUCCGCAAGCUUAAGGUUACGAUGACAGUUAUAUUAUGAGUUUAUGCAUUUUGAUGUACCGAAGUUUUUUCGGAGCCCCGGAUGUGAUCACGGACAUGACGAGGAGUCUCGAAAUGGUCGAGACAUAAAGAUUGAUAUAUUGGAAGCCUAUGUUUGGAUAUCGGAAGUGUUCCGGGUGAAAUCGAGAUUUUACCGGAGUACCGGGAGGUUACCGGAACCCCCCGGGAGCUAGAUGGGCCAUAGUGGGACUUAGUGGAAAAGAGAAGGGGCUGCCCAAAGUGGGAUGCGCGCCCCUCCCUUCCCUUGGUCCGAAUAGGACAAGGAGAGGGGGCCGGCCACCGUCUCUCUCUUCCCCCCUCCGCGAAUCCUAUUCCAACUAGGAUUGGGGGGGGGGGAAUCCUACUCCCAGAGGGAGUAGGACUCUCCUGGCGCGCCUCUCCUAGGCCGGCCGCACCCCCCUUUAGUCCUUUAUAUACGGAGGCAGGGGCACCCCAGAAACACACAAGUUGAUCCACGUGAUCUUUUCCUUAGCCGUGUGCGGCGCCCCCAGCCACCAUAGUCCUCGAUAAUAUUGUAGCGGAGUUUAGGCGAAGCCCUACUGCAGUAGUACAUCAAGAUCGUCACCACGCCGUCGUGCUGGCGGAACUCUUCCCCGACACUUUGCUGGAUCGGAGUCCGGGGAUCGUCAUCGAGCUGAACGUGUGCUAAAACUCGGAGGUGCCGUAGUUUCGGUGCUUGAUCGGUCGGGCCAUGAAGACGUACGACUACAUCAACCAAACGCUUCCAUUGUCGAUCUACUAGGUAUGUAGAUCACACUCCCCCCUCUUGUUGCUAUGCAUCACAUGAUCUUGCGUGUGCGUAGGAAUUUUUUUGAAAUUACUACGUUCCCCUACAGUGGCAUCCGAGCCUAGGUUUUAUAUGUUGAUGUUAUAUGCACGAGUAGAACACAAGUGAGUUGUGGGCGAUAUAAGUCAUACUGCUUACCAGCAUGUCAUACUUUGGUUCGGCGGUAUUGUUGGAUGAAGCGGCCCAGACCGACAUUACGCGUACGCUUACGCAAGACCGGUUCUCCCGACGUGCUUUGCACAGAGGUGGCUUGUGGGUGACAGUUUCUCCAACUUUAGUUGAACUGAGUGUGGCUACGCCCGGUCCUUGCGAAAGUUAAAACAGCACCAACUUGACAAACUAUCAUUGUGGUUUUGAUGCGUAGGUAAGAUUGGUUCUUGCUUAAGCCCGUAGUAGCCACGUAAAACUUGCAACAACAAAAUAGAGGACGUCUAACUUGUUUUUGCAGGGCAUGUUGUGAUGUGAUAUGGUCAAGACAUGAUGCUGAUUUUUAUUGUAUGAGAUGAUCAUGUUUUGUAACCGAGUUAUCGGCAACUGGCAGGAGCCAUAUGGUUGUCGCUUUAUUGUAUGCAAGCAAUCGCGAUGUAAUGCUUUACUUUAUCACUAAACGGUAGCGAUAGUCGUGGAAGCACAAGCUUGGCGAGACGACAACGACGCUACGAUGGAGAUCAAGGUGUCACGCCGGUGACGAUGGUGAUCACGAUGAUGCUUCGGAGAUGGAGAUCACAAGCACAAGAUGAUGAUGGCCAUAUCAUAUCACUUAUAUUGAUUGCAUGUGAUGUUUAUCUUUUAUGCAUCUUAUCUUGCUUUGAUUGACAGUAGCAUUAUAAGAUGAUCUCUCACUAAUUAUCAAGAAGUGUUCUUCCUGAGUAUGCACCGUUGCGAAAGUUCUUCGUGCUGAGACACCACGUGAUGAUAGGGUGUGAUAGGUUCUACGUUCAAAUACAACGGGUGCAAAACAGUUGCACACGCGGAAUACUCAGGUUAUACUUGACGAGCCAAGCAUAUACAGAUAUGGCCUCGGAACACGGAGACCGAAAGGUCGAGCGUGAAUCAUAUAGUAGAUAUGAUCAACAUAAUGAUGUUCACCAAUGAAACUACUCCAUCUCACGUGAUGAUCGGACAUGGUUUAGUUGAUUUGGAUCACGUAAUCACUUAGAGGAUUAGAGGGAUGUCUAUCUAAGUGGGAGUUCUUUAAGUAAAUUAACUGAACUUAAAUUUAUCAUGAAACUUAGUACCUGAUAAGUAUCUUGCUUGUUUAUGCUUGUUUGUAGAUAGAUGGCUCGUGCUGUUGUUCCGUUGAAUUUUAAUGCGUUCCUUGAGAAAGCAAAGUUGAAAGAUGAUGGUAGCAAUUACACGGACUGGGUCCGUAACUUGAGGAUUACCCUCAUUGCUGCACAGAAGAAUUACGUCCUGGAAGCACCGCUGGGUGCCAGGCCUGCUGCAGGAGCAACGCCGGAUGUUAUGAACGUCUGGCAGAGCAAAGCUUAUGACUACUCGAUAGUUCAGUGUGCCAAGCUUUACGGCUUAGAAUCGGGACUUCAACGACGUUUUGAACGUCAUGGAGCAUAUGAGAUGUUCCAGGAGUUGAAGUUAAUAUUUCAAGCAAAUGCCCGGAUUGAGAGAUAUGAAGUCUCCAAUAAGUUCUAUAGCUGCAAGAUGGAGGAGAACAGUUCUGUUAGUGAGCAUAUACUCAAAAUGUCUGGGUAUAAUAAUCACUUGAUUCAAUUGGGAGUUAAUCUUCCAGAUGAUUGCGUCAUUGACAGAAUUCUCCAAUCACUGCCACCAAGCUACAAGAGCUUCGUGAUGAACUAUAAUAUGCAAGGGAUGAAUAAUACUAUUCCCGAGCUCUUCGCAAUGCUGAAAGCUGCGGAGGUAGAAAUCAAGAAGGAGCAUCAAGUGUUGAUGGUCAACAAGACCACUAGUUUCAAGAAAAAGGGCAAAGGAAAGAAGAAGGGGAACUUCAAAAAGAACGGCAAGCAAGUUGCUACUCAAGAGAAGAAACUCAAACCUGGACCUAAGCCUGAAACUGAGUGCUUCUAUUGCAAGCAGACUGGUCACUGGAAGCGGAACUGCCCCAAGUAUUUGGCGGAUAAGAAGGAUGGCAAGGUGAACAAAGGUAUAUGUGAUAUACAUGUUAUUGAUGUGUACCUUACUAAUGCUCGCAGUAGCACCUGGGUAUUUGAUACUGGUUCUAUUGCUAAUAUUUGCAACUCGAAACAGGGACUACGGAUUAAGCGAAGAUUGGCUAAGGACGAGGUGACGAUGCGCGUGGGAAACGGUUCCAAAGUCGAUGUGAUCGCAGUCGGCACGCUACCUCUACAUCUACCUUCGGGAUUAAUAUUAGACCUAAAUAAUUGUUAUUUGGUGACAGCGUUAAGCAUGAACAUUAUUUCUGGAUCUUGUUUGAUGCGAGACGGUUAUUCAUUUAAAUCAGAGAAUAAUGGUUGUUCUAUUUAUAUGAGUAAUAUCUUUUAUGGUCAUGCACCCUUGAAGAGUGGUCUAUUCUUGUUGAAUCUCGAUAGUAGUAACACACAUAUUCAUAAUGUUGAAGCCAAAAGAUGCAGAGUUGAUAAUGAUAGUGCAACUUAUUUGUGGCACUGCCGUUUAGGUCAUAUCGGUGUAAAGCGCAUGAAGAAACUCCAUACUGAUGGACUUUUGGAACCACUUGAUUAUGAAUCACUUGGUACUUGCGAACCGUGCCUCAUGGGCAAGAUGACUAAAAUGCCGUUCUCCGGUACUAUGGAGAGAGCAACAGAUUUGUUGGAAAUCAUACAUACAGAUGUAUGUGGUCCGAUGAAUAUUGAGGCUCGUGGCGGAUAUCGUUAUUUUCUCACCUUCACAGAUGAUUUAAGCAGAUAUGGGUAUAUCUACUUAAUGAAACAUAAGUCUGAAACGUUUGAAAAGUUCAAGGAAUUUCAGAGUGAAGUUGAAAAUCAUCGUAACAAGAAAAUAAAGUUUCUACGAUCUGAUUAUGGAGGAGAAUAUUUGAGUUACGAGUUUGGUGUACAUUUGAAAAAUUGUGGAAUAGUUUCGCAACUCACGCCACCCGGAACACCACAGCGUAAUGGUGUGUCCGAACGUCGUAAUCGUACUUUACUAGAUAUGGUGCGAUCUAUGAUGUCUCUUACUGAUUUACCGCUAUCGUUUUGGGGGUACGCUCUAGAGACGGCCGCAUUCACGUUAAAUACGGCACCAUCAAAAUCCGUUGAGACGACGCCUUAUGAACUGUGGUUUGGCAAGAAACCAAAGUUGUCGUUUCUGAAAGUUUGGGGCUGCGAUGCUUAUGUGAAAAAGCUUCAACCUGAUAAGCUCGAACCCAAAUCGGAGAAAUGUGUCUUCAUAGGAUAUCCAAAGGAGACUAUUGGAUACACCUUCUAUCACAUAUCCAAAGGCAAGACUUUUGUUGCUAACUUUGGAAACUUUCUAGAGAAGGAGUUUCUCUCGAAAGAAGUGAGUGGGAGGAAAGUAGAACUUGACGAGGUAACUGUACCUACUCCCUUACUGGAAAGUAGUACAUCAUAGAAAACUGUUUCUGUGACACCUACACCAGUUAGUGAGGAAGCUAAUGAUGAUGAUCAUGAAACUUCAGAACAAGAUACUACUGAACCUCGUAGAUCAACCAGAGUAAGAUCCGCACUAGAGUGGUAUGGUAAUCCCGUUCUGGAAGUCAUGCUACUAGAUCAUGAUGAACCUACGAACUAUGAAGAAGCGAUGGUGAGCCCAGAUUCCGCAAAGUGGCUUGAAGCCAUGAAAUCUGAGAUGGGAUCCAUGUAUGAGAACAAAGUAUGGACUUUGGUUGACUUGCCCGAUGAUCGGCGAGCAAUUGAAAAUAAAUGGAUCUUCAAGAAGGAGACUGACGCUGACGGUAAUAUUACUGUCUACAAAGCUCGACUUGUCGCAAAAGGUUUUCGGCAAGUUCAAGGGAUUGACUACGAUGAGACCUUCUCACCCGUAGCGAUGCUUAAGUCUGUCCGAAUCAUAUUAGCAAUUGCCGCAUUUUAUGAUUAUGAAAUUUGGCAGAUGGAUGUCAAAACUGCAUUCCUGAAUGGAUUUCUGGAAGAAGAGUUGCAUAUGAUGCAACCAGAAGGUUUUGUCGAUCCAAAGGGAGCUAACAAAGUGUGCAAGCUCCAGCGAUCCAUUUAUGGACUGGUGCAAGCCUCUCGGAGUUGGAAUAAACGUUUUGAUAGUGUGAUCAAAGCAUAUGGUUUUAUACAGACUUUUGGAGAAGCCUGUAUUUACAAGAAAGUGAGUGGGAGAUCUAUAGCAUUUCUGAUAUUAUAUGUGGAUGACAUAUUACUAAUUGGAAAUGAUGUAGAAUUUCUGGAUAGCAUAAAGGGAUACUUAUAUAAGAGUUUUUCAAUGAAAGACCUCGGUGAAGCUGCUUACAUAUUAGGCAUUAAGAUCUAUAGAGAUAGAUCAAGACGCUUAAUUGGACUUUCACAAACCACAUACCUUGACAAAGUUUUGAAGAAGUUCAAAAUGGAUCAAGCAAAGAAAGGGUUCUUGCCUGUGUUACAAGGUGUGAAGUUGAGUAAGACUCAAUGCCCAACCACUGCAGAAGAUAGAGAGAAUAUGAAAGAUGUUCCCUAUGCAUCAGCCGUAGGAUCUAUCAUGUAUGCAAUGCUGUGUACCAGACCUGAUGUGUGCCUUGCUAUAAGUCUAGCAGGGAGGUACCAAAGUAAUCCAGGAGUGGAUCACUGGACAACGGUCAAGAACAUCCUGAAAUACUUGAAAAGGACUAAGGAUAUGCUUCUCGUAUAUGGAGGUGACAAAGAGAUCAUCGUAAAAGGUUACAUUGAUGCAAGCUUUGACACUGAUCCGGACGAUUCUAAAUCGCAAACCGGAUACGUGUUUACAUUAAACGAUGGGGCUGUAAGUUGGUGCAGUUCUAAACAAAGCGUUGUAGCGGGAUCUACAUGUGAAGCGGAGUACAUGGCUACUUCGGAAGCAGCAAAUGAAGGAGUCUGGAUGAAGGAGUUCAUAUCCGAUCUAGGUGUUAUACCUAGUGCAUCAGGUCCAAUGAAAAUCUUUUGUGACAAUACUGGUGCAAUUGCCUUGGCAAAGGAAUCCAGAUUUCACAAGAGAACCAAGCACAUCAAGAGACGCUUCAAUCCCAUCCGGGAUCUAGUCCAGGUGGGAGACAUAGAGAUUUGCAAGAUACAUACGGAUUUGAAUGUUGCAGACCCGUUGACUAAGCCUCUUCCACGAGCAAAACAUGAUCAGCACCAAGGCUCCAUGGGUGUGAGAAUCAUUACUGUGUAAUCUAGAUUAUUGACUCUAGUGCAAGUGGGAGACUGAAGGAAAUAUGCCCUAGAGGCAAUAAUAAAGUUAUUAUUUAUUUCCUUAUAUCAUGAUAAAUGUUUAUUAUUCAUGCUAAAAUUGUAUUAACCGGAAACAUAAUACAUGUGUGAAUACAUAGACAAACAAAGUAUCACUAGUAUGCCUCUACUUGACUAGCUCGUUAAUCAAAGAUGGUUAUGUUUCCUAACCAUGAACAAUGAGUUGUUAUUUGAUUAACGGGAUCACAUCAUUAAGUGAAUGAUCUGAUUGACAUGACCCAUUCCAUUAGCUUAGCACCCGAUCGUUUAGUAUGUUGCUAUUGCUUUCUUCAUGACUUAUACAUGUUCCUAUAACUAUGAGAUUAUGCAACUCCCGUUUACCGGAGGAACACUUUGGGUGCUACCAAACGUCACAACGUAACUGGGUGAUUAAAAAGGAGUACUACAGGUGUCUCCAAAGGUACAUGUUGGGUUGGCAUAUUUCGAGAUUACGUUUUGUCACUCCGAUUGUCGGAGAGGUAUCUCUGGGCCCUCUCGGUAAUGCACAUCACUUAAGCCUUGCAAGCAUUGCAACUAAUGAGUUAGUUGUGGGAUGAUGUAUUACAGAACGAGUAAAGAGACUUGACGGCAACGAGAUUGAACUAGGUAUUGGAAUACCGACGAUCGAAUCUCGGGCAAGUAACAUACCGAUGACAAAGGGAACGACGUAUGUUGUUAUGCGGUCUGACCAAUAAAGAUCUUCGUAGAAUAUGUAGGAGCCAAUAUGGGCAUCCAGGUCCCGCUAUUGGUUAUUGACCGGAGACGUGUCUCAGUCAUGUCUACAUUGUUCUCGAACCUGUAGGGUCCGCACGCUUAAGGUUACGAUGACAGUUAUAUUAUGAGUUUAUGCAUUUUGAUGUACCGAAGUUUGUUCGGAGUCCCGGAUGUGAUCACGGACAUGACGAGGAGUCUCGAAAUGGUCGAGACAUAAAGAUUUAUAUAUUGGAAGCCUAUGUUUGGAUAUCGGAAGUGUUCCGGGUGAAAUCGAGAUUUUACCGGAGUACCGGGAGGUUACCGGAACCCCCCGGGAGCUAGAUGGGCCAUAGUGGGCCUUAGUGAAAAAGAGAAGGGGCUGCCCAAAGUGGGCUGCGCCCCCCUCCCCUCCCUUGGUCCGAAUAGGACAACGAGAGGGGGCCGGCCACCCUCUCUCUCUUCCCCCCUCCGCGAAUCCUAUUCCAACUAGGAUUGGGGGGGGGGGAAUCCUACUCCCAGAGGGAGUAGGACUCUCCUGGCGCGCCUCUCCUAGGCCGGCCGCACCCCCCCUUUAGUCCUUUAUAUACGGAGGCAGGGGCACCCCAGAAACACACAAGUUGAUCCACGUGAUCUUUUCCUUAGCCGUGUGCGGCGCCCCCAGCCACCAUAGUCCUUGAUAAUAUUGUAGCGGAGUUUAGGCGAAGCCCUGCUGCAGUAGUACAACAAGAUCGUCACCACGCCGUCGUGCUUGCGGAACUCUUCCCCGACACUUUGCUGGAUCGGAGUCCGGGGAUCGUCAUCGAGCUGAACGUGUGCUAAAACUCGGAGGUGCUGUAGUUUCGGUGCUUGAUCGGUCGGGCCAUGAAGACGUAUGACUACAUCAACCAAACACUUCCGUUGUCGAUCUACUAGGUAUGUAGAUCACACUCCCCCCUCUCGUUGCUAUGCAUCACAUGAUCUUGCGUGUGCGUAGGAUUUUUUUUGAAAUUACUACGUUCCCCUGCAGAAAGAAGUAGAUACACCAACACAAUCAAUCAAUAAUGACGAUCAAGGUGAGGUCAUCAAUUCCAUAUAUGUUCUUAUGAAAUCCAAAUAAAUAUAUUAUACAAUAGAAAAUUGCAACACAGGUAAUAAUGAAGUCAUAUUUGAAGAGGACAUAAACGAGGAUGAAUACAUGUUCUCUGGUCAAGGUAUGCUUAAUAGAAUUUAAAUAUAUUUUAAUCAUUAUAUUGCUUCUGUACUAACUUUUGCUACAAACCAAACUAGAAUGGGACAGAGAAGUGGAAAUUGAAAUCAAAGAAGGCGAGGAAAUACACAACCCUAAUCCUUAUGAUUUCGUCUAUAGCAACAUACCCAAAAAAACACACGUGCUCAAAACGGAAGGAAAUUGCAGAUUCUGCCAUGCAAAAAAUUCAAGUAUGAAACUAAGGGAUUAUGCUGCAGAAAAGGACAGAUAAGACUAGCCAAUGCAGAUACACCACCUGAACUCAUAAGACUUUGGAUAAGCAACGACUCUGAUGCAAGACAUUUUCGGAACAAUAUAAGAUUUUUCAAUGGCCACUUCUCGUUUACUACUCUAUAUUGCCAUCUUGACAGAGACACAACCGACAUGCGAAAUUCUGGUGGUAUUUACACCUUUCGAGCACAUGGUCAGAUCUAUCACAGCAUACACUCAUUUGGUAAUAGUCGACCAGAUCCAAAGCAUGUGGAGCUAUACUUCUACGACAAUGAUCCAAGCUUAGAGCAUCGGUACUGCCGUUGCCGCGAGGAAAUGUACGAGCAAGACAAGCAUGUGAUCGGGAUAAUAACCAACAUCCUACGGGAUAACCCAUACUCUCAACAAUUUAGGAGUUUGGGACGAGCCCAAAACCUUGAGGACUACAGACUCGUCUUAAACCCGGACCAAAGAUUGGACCAGAGAACAUACAACGCGCCAAUAAAUUCGGAGGUAGCUGCAGUGUGGAUUGAAGGAAAUAAAAGAAGAGACACUUAUGACAGGAAUGUAAUACUACAUGGAAACUACAAUGAAAAAGAGCACAUUCGAUCAUAUUACGGGUGCUAUGAUCCGUUGUCGUACCCUCUAUUCUUUCCAAGAGCUGAGCUGGGUUGGCAUAGGAAAAUCCCAAAGAGGAAUACAAAAAAGGAAGAUAUUGGUGCUGAUAAUAUCAGUAAUGAUGAUGACCUAGGUAAAAUUUCAUAUACUAUUAUAUUCAAUAUUCAAUUUAACUAACUUUUUUAUGUCGCAAUAUUUGCACAGAUUCUGCCAACGGCCUGUGGGUAACCAUGAAAGAAUACUACUGGUAUAAAUUCCAUACACGACCAAGCAUAUUCAACCAAUAUUGCAGGGCGGACGGAUUUUCCAGCAGUUUGUUGUAGAUACAUACAUAAAGAUUGAAAGCUCCAGACUGGAUUACAUGUGGCAUCAUCAAAACAAAAUAAGGGCGGAUCUAUACCAAGGCCUUCUAGACAUCAUUCAAGCUAGAGAACAGAAUGGAGAUGCAAUCGGAAAACGGAGAGUACUUGCAUCAUCAUUUAUUGGAGGGCCACGCGAUAAAAUUCGUCCGUAUCUAGAUUCUAUGGCUUUAGUUAGAAAAUAUGGAAAACCAGACGUAUUACUCACAAUGACAUGCAACCCCAACUGGAAGGGAUCACACGUGAACUACAGUUUGGACAAACACCACAAGAUCGCCCAGACAUUAUCGUUUGUGUUUUCAAGGCGAAGCUCAAAGAAAUGAAGAAGCAACUAUUUGAGAAGGCCAUUCUUGGAAAGGUCAAGGCAUAUACAUAUGUCAUAGAGUUCCAAAAGAGGGGAUUACCCUGACGGUGUCCUGGACUAGGGGGUACUGUAACACCCCGGAUGUAACUUUCCCAAUUUGUACUCCAACUCUUGCCGUUUCCGGCGUUAACUUAUUUUAUUUUCUCGGGUUCGGGUCUUUGUCUCCGUGUGUUGUUGUCGUUGUCAUGCAUCUCAUAUCAUGUCAUCAUGUGCAUUUCAUUUGCAUACGUGCUCGUCUCAUGCAUUCGAGCAUUUUCCCCGUUGUCCGUUUUGCAUUCCGGCGCUUCAUUCUCCUCCGAUGGUCAUUUCUAGCUUUCUUUCGUGUGUGGGGAUUAAACAUUUCCGGAUUGGACCGAGACUUGCCAAGCUGCCUUGGUUUACUACCGGUAGACCGCCUGUCAAGUUUCGUAUCAUUUGGACUUCGUUUGAUACUCCAACGAUUAACCGAGUGACCGAAAAGGCCUCGUGUGUGUUGCAGCCCAACACCCCUCCAAUUUGGAACAAAACCCACCUAAACCCUUUCUAUCAUCUAGAGCGUUCGAUCACGAUCGCGUGGCUGAAAACUGCACCUCAUUUGAACUCUCCUAGCUCCCUCUAGGCCUAUAUAAAGGUCUCUCCCCGAAAAUCCGGGUCUUCCCCCGUCCUAACCCUAAAAAUUCCGUCUCUGCCGCCGCCGGACGUGUCCGGACGGAGCCGGACACCGUCCGACCCAGCCGCCACCGCCACGUGUCGCCCCGGGAUUCACCGCCNNNNNNNNNNNNNNNNNNNNNNNNNNNNNNNNNNNNNNNNNNNNNNNNNNNNNNNNNNNNNNNNNNNNNNNNNNNNNNNNNNNNNNNNNNNNNNNNNNNNNNNNNNNNNNNNNNNNNNNNNNNNNNNNNNNNNNNNNNNNNNNNNNNNNNNNNNNNNNNNNNNNNNNNNNNNNNNNNNNNNNNNNNNNNNNNNNNNNNNNNNNNNNNNNNNNNNNNNNNNNNNNNNNNNNNNNNNNNNNNNNNNNNNNNNNNNNNNNNNNNNNNNNNNNNNNNNNNNNNNNNNNNNNNNNNNNNNNNNNNNNNNNNNNNNNNNNNNNNNNNNNNNNNNNNNNNNNNNNNNNNNNNNNNNNNNNNNNNNNNNNNNNNNNNNNNNNNNNNNNNNNNNNNNNNNNNNNNNNNNNNNNNNNNNNNNNNNNNNNNNNNNNNNNNNNNNNNNNNNNNNNNNNNNNNNNNNNNNNNNNNNNNNNNNNNNNCUCCCCGACGCCGCGGCCGCGCCGCCCUUGCCUCCCCGACGCCGCGCCCGCCGUCCCGUGCUCCGGCGAGAGCAACACCGGCGAGCCCCUCGACCUCCUACGACCGGCGAGCCCGCCAAGACCGGCCACCACCUCCGACGAACCUCGAACAUUGCGCCCCAGUGAAUAGUACCCGGCGAGAUCUAGAUCCAGAUCCGGUUGAUUUUCUCCCGAAACCCUAGCUCAUGUGCCCAUGUUCGUCGUGCCGUAACUUUGCAUCCGCAGCUUCGAUUUAGGCAUAUAGCAUAUCAAAAUGUUCAUCUCAGAGAGUAUAUCAUUUCAUUCCAUUGCAUCAUUUUCAUUUGAGUUCAUCUUGAUGCCCGAAAUGCUGUUAGAAGAGGGCUAUUUGAGAUAAUUGUCAGAUCUGCUACUCCAUUUAGGUUUUUGUCAUUUUUGCCAUGAUUAAUGUGUGCUUGAUAUGCCCUGAUGUUCUACAUAUGUUUUGUUAAGGGUUUUAUCAUCUUUCCAGAGGUGCAACCCAUGUAUUUUUGUGAUGUGUGUGGUGACUAGCACAAGCUUGCAAAGUGGUGCACUUGGUAAUUUUGUUUUUAGGGACUUAGCAAUUCCACUAAGUCCUUGAUCUAUUUAUCUCAUGAUGCCAUAUGUUCAUGUUGUUUCCUAGUGAUCCGUGCCUCUUUUGAGGAUGAUCAGUAAGGAUGUUUUGUUAUUCUUGCAGUGCUCUAUCCAUCCAUGUCUUUAUUUGCAAUUAUGGAGCACGCUAGCUUGAGUCAAUCGAGCUCUACUUUUGGUACUUUGUGAAUCUGGGCAGAUUGUCAACUUGUUUGCAAUUUUGCCGAUGAUGUUGUAGUUGAUCCGUGCAUGCUAUGUUAUUGGUCUUACAUUGUCUAGCUUUCAUUUUGUGUAUUCUUGAUGGGUAUAUGCUUGUCUUGUCAUAACUUGCACCGUAGUGAGUGCAUCGAGCUCGUGAACAUGCCUACUUGAGUUAUAUUUCAGUAUGUGCCAGUUUUCACUAAGUCUGAAAACUGAUUAUGUUUUUGCUAUGUUCACAUGCUUGCAAUUGUAUUUUCCGAUCCCUUUUGGCUCAAGGUCACUAAGGGACUUUUGUUAAGCUCUUCGAGUAGCUCCAUGCCAUGCUUUACUUUGCCAUGUUCAGGUCCUGUAGCAUGUAGUUUUGUUGCUCCGAAGAGAGCUACCUGAUCUGAAAUUCCAGACAAGUGUUAAUUUCACUAAGUCUGAGAUCUGUUUGUCAUAUGCAUUUUUGCCAUGCUUGUUUGAACCUGUUAAUGGAUGAUUUGGCCGUAGCUCAGUGCUAGACUUUUGUUAAGCAUUUUGAAUGCAUCCCUGCCAUGUAUUUUGUGGUCAUGUUUGGGUGUUGUAGCAUGUUCAUCUCAUUGCAUUUAGGUGGCUACUUGUUGUAAAUCGCAGACCGGUGUCAUAUUUGAAUCGCUUGCCAUUUCCAAACCGUAACUCCGAUUCCGGCGAUCUUUAUAUCGUUUUCAAGCGAUUUCAUCUCAUCUUUCCAGUGGAAUACUUGGAUUUCCAAGUUGAUGCCAGGUUCUUGCAUUUCCUGUCAUAUCUUGCAUAUGCAUCCUGCAUCGCAUCCCGCAUAGCAUAUCAUCAUUGCAUCGUCUUGUUUGAUCCUUGCACGUGGUUGAUUGUGUCCUUGUUGCUUGUUUGUCUUGUUUGGGUAGAGCCGGGAGACGAGUUCGCUAACGAGGAGCCCGUUGAGUUUGCUUUCGAGGAUCCAGUCAACUCUGACAACUGUGCAGGCAAGAUGAUCAUACCCUCGAAAUCACUACUAUCUUUGCUAUGCUAGUUUGCUCGCUCUUUUGCUAUUCCAAUGCUACGAUGCCUACCUUUUUCUUUCAAGCCUCCCAAAUUGCCAUGUCAAACCUCUAACCCACCAUGUCCUAGCAAACCGUUGAUUGGCUAUGUUACCGCUUUGCUCAGCCCCUCUUAUAGUGUUGCUAGUUGCAGGUGAAGAUUGGAGGUCGUUCCUUGUUGGAACAUUUAUUUACUUGUUGGGAUAUCAUUAUAUUAUCUUGUUAUCUUAAUGCAUCUAUAUACUUGGUAAAGGGUGAAAGGCUCGGCCUCUCGCCUGGUGUUUUGUUCCACUCUUGCCGCCCUAGUUUCCGUCAUAUCGGUGUUAUGUUCCCGGAUUUUGCGUUCCUUACGCGGUUGGGUUAUAAUGGGAACCCCUUGAUAGUUCGCCUUGAUUAAAGCUUCUCCAGCAAUGCCCAACCUUGGUUUUACCAUUUGCCACCUAGCCUCUUUUCCCUUGGGUUUCCGGAGCCCGAAGGUCAUCUUAUUUUAAACCCCCCCGGGCCAGUGCUCCUUUGAGUGUUGGUCCAAACUAGAGUCCUGUGCAGCGCCCCCUCGGGGAUACUCGAGGUUUGGUUUUAGUUGUAUGGAGUGCUCAUCUGAUGUGCCCUGAGAAAGAGACAUGUGCAGCUCCUAUCGGGAUUUGUCGGCACAUUCGGGCGGUGUUGCUGGUCUUGUUUUAACCUGUCGAAGUGUCUUGAAGAACCGAGAUACCGAGUCUGAUCGGAACGUCUUGGGAGGAGGUCUAUUCCUUCGUUGACUAUGAGAGCUUGUCAUGGGCUAAGUUGGGACUCCCCUGCAGGGAUUUGAACUUUUGAAAGUCGUGCCCGCGGUUAUGGGCAGAUGGGAAUUUGUUAAUGUCUGGUUGUAGAUAACUUGAACCUUAAUUUAAUUAAAAUGAAUCAACUGAGUGUGUUACCGUGAUGGCCUCUUCUCGGCGGAGUCCGGGAAGUGGACACAGUGUUGGAGUAAUGUUUGCGCAGGUUGUUCUCUAGUUUCUCGCUCGCGCUUUGCCUCCUCUUCUCGCUCUCUUUUGCGAAUAAGUUAGCCACCAUAUUUGCUAGUCGCUUGCUGCAGCUCCUCAUAUAUUUACCUUGCCUUACCUAUAAGCUUAAAUAGUCUUGAUCGCGAGGGUGCGAGAUUGCCGAGUCCCUGUGGCUCACAGAUUACUAUUACACCAGAUGCAGGGCCUGAUGAUUCUGCUCCAGGUGACGCGCUUGAGCUCAAGUGGGAGUUCGACGAAGACUCUCAACAUUACUAUGUUUCCUUUCCUGAUGAUCAGUAGUGGUGCCCAGUUGGGGGUGAACGGGACCGUUGUCGCAUGUUGGGUUCUCUUUUAUUUUGGCGCCGUAGUCGGGCCAUGAGUGUUUGGAUGAUGUAAUGUUAUUUAUGUACUUGAUUGACGUGGCGAGUGUAAGCCAACUAUGUUAUCUCCCCUUUAUUAUUCAUAUUACAUGGGAUGUUGUGAAGAUUGCCUAACUUACGACAUAUGCCUUAAAUGCGUUUAUGUCUCUAAGUCGUGCCUCGAUACGUUGGAGCUAUAGUCGCAUCGAGGGUGUUACAGGUACUCACCACGUCAUCUCCCGACUAGUGGGUCAGGCCGAGGACCUUCAUGGUGGUUCACUAUUGGGCCAGUUCGGACAACCCAUGCCGUAUACAAGGGAGAUCCCACAAAGACUUGGCGCCCAAGACGAGGACUCUCCUAAACCCUAGGCCUCUGGUGUGUUAUAUAAACCGAGGCCAGGCUAGUCAAUAGACAUCUCAUAUUCAUUACUACAAUCUCGUGGUAGAUACUUGUAUUAUGUACUAUCCCCAUAUGAAUACAAUUAAAAGUUGGACGUAAGGUUUUAGCUUCAUCAAGAGGGCCCGAACCUGGGUAAAACCCCAUGCCUGUGUUACCAUCGCUCCAAGACGCCUAGCUUAGGACCCUUAGUACGGGAUACGCCGAAUAUAGAACCGACAUUGAUGCUUUCACUGAGAGCCUGCUAGGCGUCGUCACGGGUCGAUGGCAUAAACCAGGUGUUAUGAUUUUAAUUCAAUCUAUUCCGCGUAUAUCAGAUUUCUUUUUAUUGUUUGUGGUCUUGCACUAUGUUUGUUUACAUACCAGUUUUGACCUCGAACGCCGCCGGGCAAUCGGAAUAUGCGUCACGCAGCGGCCGCCCGGGCUCCUUGAAAAUCAGGCAGACGUGGUACAUCGCAGAAGGAAAAAUCAAGACAUAUCAAAAAGCUGCUCCGAGGAGAAGCGACGGCCUGGCACUAAUUGCCAGAUCAAUCUAAUCAUGGGGCAGCCCACUAGGACUACUAGUUGUGGCACAUCAAUCGUUUGAUUGAUGCAAUCGUGCUUGUCUAAUCUGACUAGCCCUCACACUGAAGCUCCAGAGCACUUUGAUGUAGUUUUUUUAUUUUCCCUAGCUUUAGCCGGAGUCAGAUGCAUCCAUAAAGGUCAACUAGCAGAUGAUCUUGCCUAACGUAUGCCGCGCUGGGUCCUGAGGAAUAAAUGCAUGGGUCGGGCAAACACAUGCAAAGGUGAAGACACUCCGGCCAUCCAGGCAUCUGACGACCGCCGUAUCUGUAACCGAAUCUGUCCUAUAAAAAAUAUGCCAUCACCCCUUCGUCUUCAUUGACCUAGGCGCCAGGCUAUGUUUCUUUUAUCUACUUUGUGUAAACUUAAUUAUGCAAAGAAUUUUUUUCAACUAUUAUUAUUUCUUUGUGCAUUAUUCUAUGUGUGCAGGUAAUCAACUUCGACUGCAUCAUGCGGUCAACUCUGUGGGCCGACAUCGUCGUCCUGCCUGCAUCGAUCAAGUUGCUCCGUCGCCUCAGUGCGCGUCCCUGUGUCAGCAUGUCCGCGGCCAUUCUAUCGGUACGACCUCGGCACAAUUGACAUACACUGCGCAUUACCUGGCGCAAUGACGCACAAGAGAAUUAGGCUUGGCGCAACCACAAGGAGAUUUGACUUUCUUUUUUCCAUUCCUCCUCUAUAUUAUUUAAUUAAGCAGGUAAUCGACUUCGACUACGUCACACGGUCACUUCAGCAAGCCGACGAUGUCGUCCCAAUCGGCAUAAAUCGGCUCGCGUGAUCACCUUGUCGGUCGAAUUGCCAUACCGACAUGUUCUGUUGCCUCAGGGACUUUGACAUCACUAAGAGAGCUCUACCUCAUUGAGUGUUCGGCGCACGGGUCAUAUUUCUUUUAUUACUCACUUUGCAUAAAUUAUUAAUCAUGCAACUUUUUUAUUAUUACUUCUGCCUUGCACUAUUUUAUGUGUGCAGAUAAUUGAUUUUUGCUGCGUCACGCAGUCACCUCGGCGUGCGGAGUCGUCCUCUCGCCUCUAUCAACCAAAUUCCACUAUUACCAUGGUGUGAUACCCUGUGUUGCCAUUAUCGCGUGGUCGCUUCAUCAAACUGACGUCCACCAUGCCGACCUGUUUUGACAUGUCGACUGACGUGGGGGCUUCAUUGUCACGCUGCCGAACUACUCUGUUUCCUCAGCUGGACCGGGGGCUUCCCCUCGGAACUUUGGCACCGUCAUGCUAUCACUUUGUCAAGCCGAGCUCUUCGCUCGGGUACGUCAAGACUAGUUUGGGGGUUGGGACCUUGAGCCAAGACAAGCUCGGCCCACGUCACACCGAGCACAUUAACCAGCUAAGUCGCUUUCAUGCUCAAAAAAAAUUAAGUUUUAAAUAUAUUUUUCGGGUCGACCAAGCAUUAUACUUUUUUGACAAAAAGUCAUUUGCGAAAAACUUUCUUUGUCAAAACCUUGUUUGUUACAAACAAAUUCAAAUAAAAUACCCCGUUUAUUUGGGGGAUUCUUUUAUGAAGCCUCUCCUCUUGAAUAUGAUUAUACUUGUAUGGCUUCAUUCCUUAUUAAUGUAUUACGACACAAUAUGCACCAUGUUGACUUAUGUGUUCCGCAAGCUGGGUUGCCUUGCUCCUGUGUUUACCCCUACGUUCCCAAUUGUUCGGCUAGGGAGUAAAGGGAGCACCUCUACGAUUGUCACGAUCGGGUCAUCCGAGCUCGGACCUCAGACUGGGUGAAGUCGAAAGCUAGUGCUCUUAUUGUUUUCAAUCAUGUUCGGCACACAACUGAACUCAUGAAUACAAAAAAUCUAUUGCACAAGUCUCAUAGUAACAAUGAGCAACCGAAGAAAGGUACCAAUGGAGGUACUAUUUUCUUCGAAGAUGCUUCUUACACUUCAUCAGUAAUAUAGCAUAAGUUCCCUGAGCGCGCUUUGUCUAUUAUAGCCUUAUGGCCUGAUUGCCUGGUUAUCGGAAACACCGUCGAUAUUCUCGACAGGUGGAGUACAUAACACUUUUCGGCCCUUGUCCGAAGAGGGAGAAGCCGAUGGUCGGUUAAGACGCGUUUAAAGUUCGGAUGAACACAUAUAUGAUAUAAGUACUUCGGUACAUACAAUCAUUAUACAUAAAAUUCUUUUACCCAAAUCACUUGGGGGCUCUUAAAUUAAUAUGAGUAGUUUUGUAAUAGAUGUUUUCUUUUUAGUCAUUGCAAAAUCUUUUUCUACCACUCCUUUAUCGACUCAACUGUAUGAUCAAUAGCCGGGUAGCCUGGUUUCUCUCUAAAGCCGCUCGCGUUUAGUUCGCUAAACUGGCCUGAGAAACACUCCGCCUUCGGGAUAGGGAGGUUGAAGCCGAGGGCUGACCCACUUGAAGUCUAGAGAUCAGAUGUGUCAUGUCAAAGCAUGACGGAAGUACAAUUUUAAGACCAAUUUCUUAUUGGCACCAAAACAGCUUGAUUCAAUCUAGACGCAAAGUUUUUUACGCAUGUUUUUGGCCUUUGGGCUUAUAACAUCUUUUUACCUAUUUUAUGUUUUCCUUUCAGGAAGCAGGACAUUCUCUUGGUUGAGGUUUUUGGCAUGAAACUCUUUUCUAAAACUACAGUUCGACAUCUUUUCUGCCGAACCCCACCUCGGUAUUGUCAAAACAUACAUGACAGUUGAACUAGUUCCCGAGGAGGUACGAUCCUAGGGUCGGCCAUGUAGCCCAACCCAAUUCUAGGGGGGGGCUACUGCAUUGGCAAUCCAAUGCAGAAAAUUUAAGUGCAAUAUAGUUUUCGAGGAGAUUAUGAUCCUCGGGUUGGUCGGCCGCACCCAACCUGAGUCUCAAGGACUUUGCACACUGCUUUUUGUGUCCCGAAGUAUUUUGCCGAGCUAAGAGUUGAUCCUCAGGCCGAUUUUGCGAAUCAACCUGAGUCUCAGGGGCUACUGGGAUCAGCGGUCUUAUGUCAUCCUUUAGGUGCAUCUCGGGUUUUAGACCGAUACACACCUUGAGGGCUACUGGCUAUAUAUCUCGGCAGAGAAUAAAUUGCACCAAUCAAAAAUAUUGACAAAAAAUCGGCCCGCAGUCGGGGUGGUGCACCACCUCGGAAGCAGUCCGGCAUAAAGCUCGGGCGCUAGUGGCUGGCUCCAUAAAGGGCAUUUCCGGCAUUAAGCUCGGCUAAACUCCUUCAACUUUUUUUGAACCAAGGUGAUCUAUGGCACAUCGGACACAGUCCAGUGUUGGAGCUUGGACACAGUCCGACAUUGGAGCUUGGACACAGUCCGACGUUGGAGCUCAGAUAAAGCCCGGCGUUGGAGCUUGGACAUAGUCCAGCGUUGGAGCUCGGGUACAUUCCGACGUUAGUGCUCGGCUGCAAAAGAUACCUCGAAUGUAGUUCGGCGUUGGAGCUCGGACGCUGCCGCCCGGGAACAACUUCAAACCCAAGGUGUGGCAUAAAAAUAAAAAGGCAUUGAUAAAGGCCGCAAACUUAAAGGGGCUCCUUGGAUACCCGACGUGUAAACUCUUCGGAUGCACUUCAGUGAUGCUCAAGAUCGAAGAUGAUAAGAUUUGUUGAACUAGUUUUCAAGACCAACGACCAAAGAUGAAGAACAGUUUGGAAGAAUCGAGGAGCGUCCCCAACUUGAAGACCGGUUCAGGGGGCUACUGACGGUGUCCUAGACUAGGGGGGUACUCACCACGUCGUCUCCCGACCAGUGGGUCGGGCCGAGGACCCCCAUGGCGGUUCACUAUUGGGCCAGUUCGGACAGCCCAUGCCGUAUACAAGGGAGAUCCCACAAAGACUUGGCGCUCAAGACGAGGACUCUCCUAAACCCCAGGCCUCUGGUGUGUUAUAUAAACCGAGGCUAGGCUAAUCAAUAGACAUCUCAUAUUCAUUACUACAAUCUUGUGGUAGUUACUUGUAUUAUGUACUAUCCCCAUAUGAAUACAAUCAAAAGAAGGAUGUAGGGUUUUACCUCCAUCAAGAGGGCCCGAACCUGGGUAAAACCCCAUGUCCGUGUUACCAUCGCUCCAAGACGCCUAGCUUAGGACCCCUACUACGAGAUAUGCCGGAUAUAGAAUCGACAUAGCCCAUGCUCACUUUUUGCUCAUCAUGACUAGAAAAUACAAAUACACAUGUCCAGAACAGUAUGACCGAAUCAUCUCCGCUGAGCUCCCUAACAAGCACAAGUACCCAGAGUUAUACAAAAUGGUAAUCAAACAUAUUGUGCAUGGUCCUUGCGGUGCAUUGAAUAAAUUUUUUCCAUGCAUAAAGAAUCGUCCGUCAUGCAAGAACAAUUAUCCAAGGCCAUUUAAUGAAACUACAAUCCAAGGAAAGGACUCCUGCCCACUGUAUAGGAGACGCAAUGAUGGUCGGACUGAAACGGUAUGAAAAUGCCAACUGGAUAAUAGGUGGGUGGUUCCUUACAACCCAUAUCUUUUGCGGAUGUUCAACUGCCACAUAAAUGUUGAGAUAUGCUCGAGCAUUAAAGCCGUUAAGUACUUGUUCAAAUACAUCUAUAAGGGACAUGACCGAGCAUCUGUAUUUGUAAUUGACAAAGUGGACGAAGUCGAAAUUGACGAGAUUAAACAGUAUAGAGAUGCGCGGUGGGUGACACCUCCGGAAGCACUAUGGAGAAUAUAUGGCUUCAAAUUAAGCAAAAUACACCCACCAGUCUUGCAACUGCAGCUACAUCUUCCAAAUAUGCACAUGGUUUCAUACCAUGGCAUGGAAAAAAUAAAGAAUAUUAUCGACCGUGAUGGCACAUAAAGAUCAAUGUUGACUGCGUACUUUGAAGCAAACAACUUACAUGAGAAAGCACGAGGCAUACUAUACAGAGACUUUCCGGAAUAUUAUACUUGGCAAAGACAAGGGAAGUUUUGGCAGGAGAGGAAACGAGAUGCUGUGUUCCAGGUUGGCAGGAUGGUCUCGGCACACCCGGCUGAAGGAGAACAAUAUUAUCUUCGAGUACUCACGUUCCAGGCGCCACCAGCUAUGAAGACCUACGAAUAGUCAACAGACAAGUAAUGCCAACCUUCCAUGAAGCUGCAGAAAAACGGGGGCUCAUCGAGGCAGACAACACACUAGAUGACUGCAUGACAGAAGCAGAGUUGUUUCGAAUGCCAUCAUCACUACGAAGGCUAUUCGUGACAAUCUUGGUUUUUUUGCGAACCUAGUGACGUACAUGGCCUAUGGAACAAACACCUUGAUGCAAUGUCAGAAGACUACAACAGAAACUACAAAUGCAAGCACACAAUCGAACAGAUGGUGCUGAGAAAUAUCAGAGACAUGUUGCACUCAAUGGGAAAAGACAUAGAAUCAUUUCCUCUUCCAGAGAUCGACAAACAACAUGAGACGACUGACGACAUACCUAGGGAGAUCGUUGCAGAGACCUCCAUCGAGGUUGACCCUGAGGACAUAUCGUUGCAUAAAAACCUAAACAUCGAGCAGAGGAAGGCCUACGACGAAAUCCUAGCCACGGUUGACCGCCAAAGAGGAGGUAUAUUCUUUGUCGAUGGGCCGGGAGGCACAGGAAAAACUUUUCUUUAUAGGGCGCUCUUGGCCACACAAGGCAAGAUUGCCGUGGCAACGACCACUUCCGGUGUUGCUGCUUCCAUAAUGCCUAGAGGGAGGACCGCACACUCGAGGUUCAAGAUUCCACUAAAAAUAGAUGAUGGAGCUAUUUGUAGCUUCACAAAACAGAGUGGGACAGCAAAGCUACUCCAAGCAGCAUCACUAAUAAUCUGGGAUGAAGCAUCUAUGACAAAGAGACAGACAGUGGAGGCGCUAGACAAAAGCAUGCGGGACAUAAUGGAUAGACUAGAUCUUCCAUUUGGUGGAAAAACGAUCGUAUUUGGGGGAGAUUUUAGACAAGUGCUACCUAUUGUCUGAAAGGGAACAAGAGCCCAGAUAGUAGAUGCAUCACUACGCAGGUCGGAGCUCUGGAAUUACAUGCGUCAAUUGAAGCUUGUGCACAACAUGAGGGCUCAAACGACCCAUGGUUCGUAGAAUACCCACUACGCAUUGGAAACGGAACCGAGAAGACAAAUGAUGAUGGUGAAAUACUUCUACCUACAAGUAUAUGUGUGCCAAAUAAGACGGAUGAUACCGGCCUGGAUAGACUUAUUGACAGUAUCUACCAAACGGGAAAUGUUUACCUAAAAGAUCGAAAGUACAUCACAUCAAGAGCAAUUUUAUCCACAAGGAAUGACUGCGUAGACAAGAUCAACCUAAAUAUGAUUGAUCGCUUCCAGGGGGAGGAGAUGGUGUACCACAGCUUCGAUUCUGUAGAAGAGACCCACAUAACUACUAUCCAUCAUAAUUCCUAAACACCCUAACCCCAAAUGGACUGCCUCCACAUAUGCUGAAGCUAAAAAAAAUUGUCCAAUGAUACUACUCAGGAACAUCGACCCUGCUAAUGGGCUCUGCAACGGCACCAGACUGGUCGUACAUGGAUUUCAGAAAAAUGCAAUUGAUGCAGAGAUUGUGGUAGGCAACACUCUGGAAUGCGAGUUUUCUUGCCUCGGAUACCAUUAUGCCCAUCUGACGAUGACAUGUUCCCGUUCAGUUUCAAGAGAAAACAGUUUCCUGUCAGACUCAGUUUUGCAAUGACAAUAAACAAAUCACAAGGCCAGACAAUACCAACUGUCGUUGUCUACGUGCCUGAGCUUGUUUUCUCACAUGGUCAAUUAUAUGUCACGCUUUCUAGAGCAACCGCGACAUCGGACAUAAAGGUACUAACAUGUACACAUGAUGUGAACAAGGGGACAAAUAAAAAAUAAAUAAAGGUGACACAUACACAAAGGAGAAGAAGAAAAGGAAGAAUAGGAUCAGUACAAGCAAUACAUACACAAAGAAUAUUGUCUACACAGAAGUCUUGACCAAAUAGGUAAUGCAAUUUUUCAAUUUUGUGUUUAUAAAUUCAGUUUCAACUUAGUACAUUCAUUCAUGACCAACUUAAUAAUUUGUAUUACACAUUGAAUCUCUAAUUUUCUAACCUUAAAAUUACUUCUUGCAUUCUUCAGGACAAUCAAGCUGUCAACUUCGGAGUUAGAAUUCAGAACUACUUGAUCGUCUUGAAGGAGGAUGUCUUCAUGUUCUGAACCACUAACUUAUUCAUUGAUAUUUAUUUAUAUAAUAUGUCCAAUAAAUUAUUAAGUUUUAUUCAAAUAUUUGAUCACUUUGAUGAUCUCUAUUAUGGUUAUACAAUCUAUAUAUGUAAAUUUACCAACGAUGAGUAGCUAAGGUCAAAUUGAGACUUACCAGUCAAUAUAGAGACAUAUUUCUUGCCUUGGAGCUGAUGUUGUUGCAUUGAUUUUUCUAAACAUCGCUUUAUCUAAGUCCAAGAAACCUGAAAAAUAUCUGACACAUUGUAAGAAAAUACAUAUCAAUUUCACAUUGUAAGAAAAUAUCUGACAAUUUCAUAAUGGAUUGAAACCCUGCAUAGUGUAGCGUUGCAUAUUUUUGAGGAAAUUGUGAUGCUCUGUUUCAUCAGGAUUAAGAUGCUUGAACAUGUAAGCAGUGUACUAGCGGCCAAUAGAGAUAUUUCUCAUGCUGACUACGUGCUAUCAAUUGUGCCAUACACAUUAUUUAGUAACUAAUCAAAAAGUGUCAAAAGCUAGCCACCAAAGCAAAUCUGAAUCUGCUACUAUGCUACUACUGCCACAACUAACCGAGGUUGGAGCAUAGGGAAUAAGCUGCUCCUCCACCAAUCGCAUAUAGGGGGUGACGGGGUGGGACUGAAGGAGAUUGGGAGAUCCGGAGAGGAAGUAAAGAGAGAAGAAGGGAAAUGGCACGCAUUACCUUUACAAUAUUGGAGGCAACGUCACGGAAGCAGGCGGAGGCGGAGGGCAGCCAGGCGGGGCGGAGAAUGAAGAGGCAAGCGGCGGCUGUCGGGACGCACGCCGGGAUGGCAACAAGGUGGCGGUGCACAUGCGAGGUCGGCCAGGAGGACGAGCAAUGCAAACAUCUGGAAGGAGGAAGCCGACGCUAUUCUCCAUCGAGAAACGAAGGCUGCAGUACCACACCCCAGCGACGGCGAGCCCCAUUGGUGGACGGCGGCUGCGGGAUAGCCCUAGACGAGUCUGCUGCGUGUGUUUUUUUAGGGGUAUGCUGCAUGUGGUGCUGUGGAAGUGAGGAGGUGCAAGAGGAAGUGCUCGUGGGCUGGAAUGGCCAGAUGGAUUCAGUUUGGCCUUUUCAUUUUCUCCACUCACUAUUGAAACAUCCCGGGCAGACCAAAGUGGGCCUACCAAAUGUACAUAUGACAUCGAGCCAUUGUUUUCUUCGUUUUCCAAAAAGAAGUAAUUCCCUGGACACGGAUAUUUGACUCUAGGAGCAUAUUCUCUGUAAUGAACAGGAAAAUCAAAAUAAAAUUUUAAAAUCCUAAAUUUUUACUACAUGUUCAUAUUAGUGUAGCAAGCGUGCUUGACAAUUUUCAUGCCAUAUGGGAUAAUAGUGCUUCGUCGGUGAAAAAAAUAAAAUUAAGUGUAACAUUUGGCGUUUGACUUUUUUUCCCCACAAGUCAACAUGCUUAAGUUUUCCCCUGUAAGUUUGCAUGUACCAUUUGGGUGUGACAAUGAACCUGUCUAUUUUUUCAUAUUUUUUUAUAUUUGUAAAUUUUCGUUUUUGGCACGCUAGAUCAUGUGCUAACUAGAGCCAGAAUGAAUUUUCGGAAUUCCCCACCUACUUAUCCUCAUGGGAUGAAAGUGCAGAGCCAAAAAACAUACUAACAAACGAUGUUAGGGAGACUUUUACUGAAAAGUGAUAGUUGAGGACCCAUGUUCACUGAAGUUGGUCAAAAUUGAAUAUAAUAAGUGUUGAAAAGGACCGAGUACUAUUAAAUUUAUCGCCCGUUGCAACGCAUGGGCAUUUGUACUAGUUGGUUCCUACAUAUUCUACGAAGAUCUUUAUUGUUUAAACCGCAUAACAACAUACGUUGUUCCCUUUGUCAUCGAUAUGUUACUUGCCCGAUAUUCGAUUGUCGGUAUCAUCAUACCUAGUUCAGUCUCGUCACCGGCAAGUCUUUUUACUCGUUCUGUAAUGCAUCAUCCCGUGACUAAUUCACUAGUCACAUUGCUUGCAAGGCUCAUAGUGAUGUGCAUUACCGAGAGGGCUCAGAGAUACCUCUUCGAUACACGGAGUGAAAAAUCCUAAUCUCGAUUUAUGCCAACUCAACAAACACCAUUGGAGACACUUGUAGAGCAUCUUUAUAAUCACCCAGUUAGGUUGUGAUGUUUGAUAGCACACUAAGUGUUCCUCCAGUAUCCAGAGUUGCAUAGUCUCAUAGUCAUAGGAACAUGUAUAAGUUAUAGAGAAAGCAAUAGCAAUAAACUAAAUGAUCAAAGUGCUAAGCUAAUGGAUGGGUCAUGUCAAUCGCAUCAUUCUCUAAUGAUGUGAUCCCGUUCAUUAAAUGACAACUCAUGUCUAUGGCUAGGAAACUUAACCAUCUUUGAUUAAUGGGCUAGUCAAGUAGAGGCAUACUAGUGACACUCUGUUUGUCUAUGUAUUUACACAUGUACUAAGUUUCUGGUUAAUUCUAGCAUGAAUAAUAAACAUUUAUCAUGACAUAAGGAAAUAUAAAUAGCAACUUUAUUAUUGCCUUUAGGGCAUAUUUCCUUUAGUCUCCCACUUGCACUAGAGUCAAUAAUCUAGAUUACAUUGUAAUGAUUCUAACACCCAUGGAGUCUUGGUGCUGAUCAUGUUUUGCUAAUGAGAGAGGCUUAGUCAGUGGGUCUGCAACAUUCAGAUCCAUAUGUAUCUUGCAAAUUUCUAUGUCUCCCUCCUUGACUUGAUCGCGGAUGGAAUUGAAGCGUCUCUUGAUGUGCUUGGUUCUCUUGUGAAAUCUGGAUUCCUUUGCCAAAGAAAUUGCACCAGUAUUGUCACAAAAGAUUUUCAUUAGACCCGAUGCACUAGGUAUAACACCUACAUCGGAUAUGAACUCCUUCAUUUGCUGCUUCCGAAGCAGCUAUGUACUCCGCUCCACACGUAGACCCCACCACGACGCUCUGCUUGGAACUGCACCAACUGACAGCUCGACCAUUCAAUACAAAUACGUAUCCGGUUUGUGACUUAGAGUCAUCCGGAUCAGUGUCAAAGCUUGCAUCGAUGUAACCGUUUACGAUGAGGUCUUUGUCACCUCCAUAAACAAGAAACAUAUCCUUAGUCCUUUUCAGGUAUUUAGGAUAUUCUUGACCGCUGUCCAGUGAUCCACUAAUGGAUUACUUUAGUACCUCCCUGCUAAAGUAAUAUCAAGGCACACAUCAGGUCUGGUACACAGCAUUGCAUACAUGAUAGAACCUAUGGCCGAAGCAUAGGGAAUGACUUUAAUUUUCUCUCUAUCUUCUGCAAUGGUCGGGCAUUGAGUCUGACUCAACUUCACACCUUGUAACACAGGUAAGAACCCUUUCUUUGCUUGAUCCAUUUUGAACUUCUUCAAAACUUUAUCAAGGUAUGUGCUUUGUGAAAGUCCAAUUAAGCGUCUUGAUCUAUCUCUAUAGAUCUUGAUGCCCAAUAUAUAAGAAGCUUCACUGAGGUCUUUCAUUGAAAAAUUCUUAUUCAAGUAUCCUUUUAUGCUAUUCAGAAAUUCAAUAUCAUUUCCAAUCAACAAUAUGUCAUCCACAUAUAAUAUCAGAAAUGCUACAGAGCUCCCACUCACUUUUUUGUAAAUACAGGCUUCUCCAAAAGUCUGUAUAAAACCAUAUGCUUUGAUCACACUAUCAAAGCGUAGAUUCCAACUCUGAGAUGCUUGCACCAGUCCAUAAAUGGAUCGUUGGAGCUUACGCACUUUGUUAGCACCUUUUGGAUCGACAAAACCUUUUGGUUGCAUCAUAUACACCUCUUCUUUAAGAUAUCCAUUAAGGAAUGCAGUUUUGACAUCCAUUUGCCAAAUUUCAUAAUUAUAAAAUGCGGCAAUUGCUAACAUGAUUCUGACGGACUUAAGCAUUGCUACGGGUGAGAAGGUCUCAUCCUAGUCAACUCCUUGAACUUUUUGAAAACCCUUUGCAACAAGUCGAGCUUUGUAGACAGUAAUAUUACCGUCAGCGUUAGUCUUCUUCUUAAAGAUCUAUUUAUUCUCUAUGGCUUGCCAAUCAUCAGGAAAGUCAACCGAAGUCCAUACUUUGUUCUCAUACAUGGAUCCCAUCUCAGAUUUCAUGGCCUCAAGCCAUUUCAUGGAAUCUGGGCUCAUCAUCGCUUCCACAUAGUUUGAAGGUUUGUCAUGGUCAAGUAACAUGACCUCCAAAAUAGGAUUACCAUACCACUCUGGUGCGGAUCUUACUCUGGUUGACCUACGAGGUUCGGUAGUAACUUGAUCAGAAGUUUCAUGAUCAUCAUCAUUAGCUUCCUCACUAAUUGGUGUAGGAAUCACUAGAACUGAUUUCUGUGACAAACUACUUUCUAAUAAGGGAGCAGGUACAAUUACCUCAUCAAGUUCUACUUUCCUCCCUCUCACUUAUUUUGAAAAAACUCCUUCUCUAGAAAGGAUCCAUUCUUAGCAACGAUUUUUUUUGCCUUCGAAUCUGUGAUAGAAGGUGUAACCAACAGUCUCCUUUGGGUAUCCUAUGAAGACACAUUUCUCCGAUUUGGGUCCGAGCUUAUCAGGUUGAAACUUUUUCACAUAAGCAUUGCAGCCCCAAACUUUAAGAAAUGACAACUUGGGUUUCUUGCCAAACCACAGUUCAUAUGGUGUCAUCUCAACGAAUUUAGAUGGUGAUCUAUUUAAUGUGAAUGCAGUCGUCUCUAAAGCAUAACCCCAAAACAAUAGCGGUAAAUCAGUAGGAGACAUCAUAGAUCGCACCAUAUCUAAUAAAGUGCGGUUACGAUGUUCGGACACACCAUUACGUUGUGGUGUUCCAGAUGGCGUGAGUUGCGAAACUAUUCUGCAUUGUUUCAAAUGAAGACCAAACUCAUAACUCAAAUAUUCACCUCCACGAUCACACCGUAGAAACUUAAUUUUCUUGUUAUAAUGAUUUUCCACUUCACUCUGAAAUUCUUUGAACUUUUCAAACGUUUCAGACUUAUGUUUCAUCAAGUAGACAUACCCAUAUCUACUCAAAUCAUCUAUGAAGGUCAGAAAAUAACGAUACCCUCCGCGAGCAUCAACACUCAUCGAACUGCAUACAUCAGUAUGUAUUAUUUCCAACAAGUCUAUUGCUCUCUCCAUUGUUCCGGAGAAUGGAGUCCUAGUCAUCUUGCCCAUGAGGCAUGGUUCGCAAGCAUCAAGUGAUUCCAAAAGCCCAUCAGCAUGGAGUUUCUUCAUGCGCUUUACACCAAUAUGACCUAAACGACAGUGCCAUAAAUAAGUUGCACUAUCAUUAUUAAACUUAUAUCUUUUGGCUUCAAUACUAUGAAUAUGUGUAUCACUACUAUCAUGAUUUAGUAAAAAUAGACCACUCAUUAAGGGUGCAUGACCAUAAAAGAUAUUACUCAUAUAAAUAGAACAACCAUUAUUCUCUGAUUUAAAUGAACACCUGUCUCGCAUUAAACAAGAUCCAGAUAUAAUGUUCAUGCUUAAUGCUGGCACCAAAUAACAAUUAUUUAGGUCUAAAACUAAUCCCAAAGGUAGAUGUAGAGGUAGCGUGCCGACGACGAUCACAUCGACUUUGGAAGCAUUUGCCACGCGCAUCGUCACCUCGUCCUUAGCCAAUCUUCGCUUAAUCUAUAGCCCCUGUUUUGAGUUGCAAAUAUUAGCAACAGAACCAGUAUCAAAUACCUAGGUGCUACUGCGAGCAUUAGUAAGGUACACAUUAAUAACAUGUAUAUCAAAUAUACCUUUCACUUUGCCAUCCUUCUUAUCCGCCAAAUACUUGGGGCAGUUCCACUUCUAGUGACCAGUCCCUUUGCAGUAGAAGCACUCAGUCUCUGGCUUAGGUCCAGACUUGGGCUUCUUCACUUGAGCAGCAACUUGUUUGCCGUUCUUACUGAAGUUCCCCUUCUUCCCUUUUCCCUUCUUCUUGAAACUGGUGGUCUUGUUGACCAUCAACACUUGAUGCUCCUUCUUGAUUUCUACCUCCACAGCCUUUAGCAUCGCGAAGAGCUCGGGAAUUGUCUUAUCCAUCCCUUGCAUAUUAUAGUUCAUCACAAAGCUUUUGUAGGUUGGUGGCAGUGAUUGAAGAACUCUGUCAAUGACACUAUCAACCAGAAGAUUAACUCCCAGCUGAGUCAAGUGAUUGUGAUACCCAGACAUUCCGAGUAUGUGUUCACUGACAGAACUAUUCUCCUCCAUUUUGCAGCUGUAGAACUUAUUGGAGACUUCAUAUCUCUCAAUCUGGGCAUUUUCUUGAAAUAUUUACUUCAACUCCUGGAACAUCUCAUAUGCUCCAUGAUGUUUAAGACGUCGUUGAAGUCCCGGUUCUAAGCCGUAAAGCAUGGCACACUGAACUAUCGAGUAGUCACCAGCUUUGCUCUGCCAGGUGUUCAUAACAUUUGGAGUUGCUCCUGCAGCGGGUUUGGCACCUAGCGGUACUUCCAGGACGUAAUUCUUCUGUGCAGCAAUGAGGAUAAUCCUCAAGUUACGGUCCCAAUUCAUGUAGUUGCUACCAUCAUCUUUCAACUUAGCUUUCUCUGGGAACACAUUAAAAUUCAACGGAACGACAACACAUGCCAUUUAUCUAUAAUAACAUAGACAUGCAAAAUACUAUCAGGUACUAAGUUCAUGAUAAAUUAAAGUUCAAUUAAUCAUAUUACUUAAGAAGUCCCACUUAGAUAGACAUCCCUCUAAUCAUCUAAGUGAUCACGUGAUCCAUAUCAACUAAACCAUGUCCGAUCAUCACAUGAGAUGGAGUAGUUUUCAAUGGUGGACAUCACUAUGUUGAUCAUAUCUACUGUCAGUGGUGCGCGUUGGUGCUAAACAAACGAGUUUUUACCCCUUUCCGCAACGGCAUUUAGAACCGCCGCCAAGUGAGUGUAUGUGAUAGGGUGUACUUCCCACACGAUCCAGAAAACGCCGGGGAUGGUGAUACGUCUCCAACGUAUCUAUAAUUUUUGAUUGCUCCAUGCUAUAUUAUCUACUGUUUUGGACUAUAUUGGGCUUUAUUUUCCACUUUUAUAUUAUUUUUGGGACUAACCUAGUAACCGGAGGCCCAUCCCAGAAUUGCUGUUUUUUCCUAUUUCAGUGUUUCGGAGAAACAGAAUAUCAAACGGAGUCCAAAUGGAAUGAAACCUUCGGAAACGUGAUUUUUUCAUCAGAUAAUAUCCAUGAGAUUUGGACCCUUCGUCAAGAAAGCCACGAGGCGGUCACGAGGGUGGAGGGCGCGCCCCCCUGCCUCGUGGGCCCCUCGAAGCUCCACCCACGUACUCCUUCCUCCUAUAUAUACCUACGUACCCCAAACGAUCGGGGACGGAGCCAAAAACCUAAUUCCACCGCCGCAACUUUCUGUAUCCACGAGAUCCCAUCUUGGGGCCUGUUCUGGAGCUCCGCCGGAGGGGGCAUCGAUCGCGGAGGACUUCUACAUCAUCAUCCAAGCCCCUCCGUUGAAGUGUGAGUAGUUUACUUCAGACCUACGGGUCCAUAGUUAGUAGCUAGAUGGCUUCUUCUCUCUUUCUGGAUCUCAAUACAAUGUUCUGCCCCUCUCUUGUGGAAAUCUAUUCGAUGUAAUCUUCUUUUUGCGGUGUGUUUGUUGAGACCGAUGAAUUGUGGGUUUAUGAUCCAGUCUAUCUAUGAAUAAUAUUUGAAUCUUCUCUGAAUUCUUUUAUGUAUAAUUGGUUAUCUUUGCAAGUCUCUUCAAAUUAUCAGUCUGGUUUGGGCUACUAGAUUGGUUUUUCUUGCCAUGGGAGAAGUGCUUAGCUUUGGGUUCGAUCUUGCGGUGUCCUUUCCUAGUCACAGAAGGGGCAGCAAGGCACGUAUUGUAUCGUUUCCAUCGAGGAUAACAAGAUGGUUUUUUUUAUCAUAUUGCAUGAAACUAUCCCUCUACAUCAUGUCAUCUUGCUUAAGGCGUUACUCUGUUUUUAACUUAAUAGUCUAGAUGCAUGCUGGAUAGCGGUCGAUGAGUGGAGUAAUAGUAGUAUAUGCAGACAGGUGUCGGUCUACUUGUCUCGGACGUGAUGCCUAUAUACAUGAUCAUACCUAGAUAUUCUCAUAACUAUGCUCAAUUCUGUCAAUUGCUCAACAGUAAUUUGUUCACCCACCGUAGAAUACUUAUGCUCUUGAGAGAAGCCACUAGUGAAACCUAUGGCCCCUGGGUCUCUUUCUCAUCAUAUCAAUCUCCAUCACUUUGUUAUUGCUUUGCUUUUACUUUUUACUUUGCAUCUCUAUACCAAAAAUACCAAAAAUAUUAUUUAUCAUCUCUAUCAGAUCUCACUUUUGUAAGUGACCGUGAAGGGAUUGACAACCCCUAAGCGCGUUGGUUGUGUUGAGCUAUUGUUUUUGUGUAGGUACGAGGGACUCGCGCGUAGCCUCCUACUCGAUUGAUACAUUGGUUCUCAAAAACUGAGGGAAAUACUUACGCUACUUUGCUGCAUCAUCCUCUCCUCUUCGGGGAAAUCCAACGUAGUGCUCAAGAGGUAGCAAGAAGAAUUUCUGGCGUUGUUGCCGGGGAUUCUGCGCAAAAGUCAACAUACCAAGUACCCAUCACAAUCCCUAUCUCCCGCAUUACAUUAUUUGCCAUUUGCCUCUCGUUUUCCUCUCCCCCACUUCACCCUUGCCAUUUUAUUCGCCCUCUCUCUCUAUCCUCCCUCUCUAUUUGCCUCUUUUUGCCCGUUUACUUUUUGUUUGCUUGUGUAUUAGUUUGCUAGCUUGUCGUUAUGUCAAGUCCUUUAUCUUCUGCCUCUAGGUCUGAAAUUGGGGAAAUUAUUGUCGAUAUGGAUAGUAAUAAUAUCAUGAAAAAUUCUGAUGGUCCUGCUAAAGAACCUACCAUCUUUCAUACAAAAAAAUCCGUGUUGGUAGUGAUAAUAUUAUUGGAAAAGGAGUUAUUCAAGAUUUCUUUACUUGUGCCGGUGCUUUACCUUCUAUGGGUAGUUCUAUCCUUCACAGAACUAGUAUUCUUGCGGACGCUAUUGCCAUGCUUGUAGUUGAACUUGAAAGACAAUUCAUGCACAUGCAUCCUUCCAUACAAAGGAUUUUUCUGGAAUUUUCUAAUAUUGAGUAUUCUUCUGUUAAGCGUGCCGCUACUAUCUUUUUGGCUCAUGAGUUUAGAUUCAUAAUAAAAGAAGCCAAAGAAAUCUUUGCGCAUUAUAGGGUGGACGCUUGUCGUCCUCCCAUAGAGGCUAUCCUCUUUGAUCAAGAAGAAAUAAUGCGUUUUCAAUCUCUAGACUAUGUUGCUUUCAAUGAAAAUCUUAGAAAAAGGGUUCCUACCAAUGUUUUAGUUGAUAGAAUUUCUGAACUUAAUGAUGAUUUGGCUAUUCGAAAUAAUGAACUAGGAUAUUCUCUUGAAUAUAGGCUCACAAAGUUCUGGCAAAAGAAUGCUUAUAAUGAUGAAUUGGUUGUGCAUUAUGAAGGACCAAAGGAGGAACCUAUACCUCCCAAGGUUGAUCUUGGGGACUUUUGUCCCGUUAAAUUUAGGCCUUUUGAUUACUUCUGCUUGCCUCAAAUAAAACUUGCUGCCGAACGUAGAUAAUAUGAAAUGAGUUUUAAUAAUCUAUCUUACUAUUAUGGCAAUACCUAGAUCUAUUCUUGCUUGUUAUGCCUAGCUAGGGGCGUUAAACGAUAGCGCUUGUUGGGAGGCAACCCAAUUUUAUUUUUAUUCCUUGAUUUUUGCUCCUGUUUAGUAAUAAAUAAAUUAUUUAUUCUCUGUUUUUGUUGUGUUUUUUUUGUUUAAUUAGUGUUUGUGCCAAGUAGAACCGUUGGGAAGACUUGGGGAAAGUCUUGUUGAACUUGCUGUAAAAACAGAAACUUUAGCGCUCACGAGAACUGCUGUCAUUUUUAUUUGGAAAGUGAUAGUUAGUUAAUUAUUGUUGAAGAUGAUUAAUAUAUAAAUUCGUCACGUCCAGCAAUUUAUUUUAGAAUUUUUGGGGUUCCAGAUCUUGCGCUAGCUACAGAUUACUACAGACUGUUCUGUUUUUGACAGAUUCUGUUUUUCGUGUGUUGUUUGCUUAUUUUGAUGAAUCUAUGGCUAGUAACAUAGUUUAUAAUCCAUAGGGAAUUUGGAAUACAGUAGGUUUAACACCAAUAUAAAUAAAGAAUGAGUUCAUUACAGUACCUUGAAGUGGUCUUUUGUUUUCUUUCGCUAACGGAGCUCAUGAGAUUUUCUACUUUAAGUUUUGUGUUGUGAAGUUUUCAAGUUUUGGGUAAAGAUUUGAUGGAUUAUGGAACAAGGAGUGGCAAGAGCCUAAGCUUGGGGAUGCCCAUGGCACCCCCAAGAUAAUAUGAGGACACCUAAAAGCCAAAGCUUGGGGAUGCCCCGGAAGGCAUCCCUCUUUCGUCUACUUCUAUCGGUAACUUUACUUGGAGCUAUAUUUUUAUUCACCACAUGAUAUGUGUUUUGCUUGGAGCAUCUUUUAUGAUUUGAGUCUUUGUUUGUUAGUCUACCACAAUCAUCCUUGCUGUACACACCUUUUGAGAGAGCCAUACAUGACUUGGAAUUUUAUAGAAUACUCUAUGUGCUUCACUUAUAUCUUUUAGAGCACGGUGGUGGAUUUGUUUUAUAGAAACUAUUGAUCUCUCAUGCUUCACUUAGAUUAUUUCGAGAGUCUUAAUAGCAUGGUAAUUUGCUCAAAAUCCUAAUAUGCUUGGUAUGCAAUAUUAAUAAUAAAACUUUCUUAUGAGUGUGUUGAAUACUAAGAAAAGUUUGAUGCUUGAUGAUUGUUUUGAGAUAUGGAGGUAAUAAUAUCAAAGUCAUGCUAGUUGAGUAUUUGUGAAAUUGAGAAAUACUUGUGUUGAAGUUUGCAAAUCCCGUAGCAUGCACGUAUGGUAAAUGUUACGCAACAAAUUUGAAACAUGAGGUGUUAUUUGAUUGUCUUCCUUAUGAGUGGCGGUCGGGGACGAGCGAUGGUAUUUUCCUACAAAUCUAUCCCCCUAGGAGCAUGCACGUAGUGCUGAGGUUUUUGAUGACUUGUAGAUUUUUGCAAUAAGUAUGUGAGUUCUUUAUGACUAAUGUUGAGUCCAUGGAGUAUACACACUCUCACCCUUCCAUCCUUGCUUGCCUCUUCGGUAUCGUGCAUUGCCCUUUCUCACAUUGAGAGUUGGCGCAAACUUCGCCGGUGCAUCCAAACCCCGUGAUAUGAUACGCUCUUUCACACAUAAACCUCCUUAUAUCUUCCUCAAAACAGCCACCAUACCUACCUAUUAUGGCAUUUCCAUAGCCGUUCCGAGAUAUAUUGCCAUGCAACUUUCCAUCAUUCCAUUCAUCAUGACACAUUCAUCAUUGUCAUAUUUCUUAGCAUGAUCAUGUAGUUGACAUAGUAUUUGUGGCAAAGCCACCGUUCAUAAUUCUUUCAUACAUGUCACUCUUGGUUCAUUGCAUAUCCUGGUACACUGCCGGAGGCAUUCAUAUAGAGUCAUCUUUGUUCUAGUAUCAAGUUGUAAUCAUUGAGUUGUAAAUAAAUAGAAGUGUGAUGAUCAUCAUUAUUAGAGCAUUGUCCCAAGUGAGAAAAAAAAGGAAGGCCAUAAAAAAGAAGGCCCAAAAAAAAGAGAAAGGCCGUUAAAAAAAGAAAAGGCCAAAAAAAUGAGAGAAAAAGAGAGAAGGGACAAUUUUACUAUCCUUUUACCACACUUGUGCUUCAAAGUAGCACCAUGAUCUUCAUAGUAGAGAGUCUCUCAUGUUAUCACUUUCAUAUACUAGUGGGAAUUUUUAAUUAUAGAACUUGGCUUGUAUAUUCCAACAAUGGGCCUCCUCAAGUGCCCUAGGUCUUCGUGAGCAAGCAAGUUGGAUGCACACCCACUAGUUUCUUUUGUUGACCUUUCAUACAUUUAUAGCUCUAGUGCAUCCGUUGCAUGGCAAUCCCUACUCCUUGCAUUAACAUCAAUCGGUGGGCAUCUCCAUAGCCCAUUGAUUAGCCUUGUUGAUGUGAGACUUUCUCCUUUUUUGUCUUCUCCACAUAACCCCCCUCAUUAUAUUCUAUUCCACCCAUAGUGCUAUGUCCAUGGCUCGCGCUCAUAUAUUGCGUGAAGGUUUAUAGGUUUGAGAUUACUAAAGUAUGAAACAAUUGCUUGGCUUGUCAUCGGGGUUGUGCAUCAUGAGAGCAUUCUUGUGUGACGAAAGUGAAACAUGACUAAACUAUAUGAUUUUGUAGGGAUGAACUUUCUUUGGCCAUGUUAUUUUGAGAAGACAUAAUUUCUUAGUUAGUAUGCUUGAAGUUAUGUCAAUAUGAACUUUUGUCUUGAAUAUUUUGGAUCUGAAUAUACAUACCACAAUUAAGAAAAAUUACAUUAAAAUUAUGCCAAGUAGCACUCCGCAUCAAAAAUUAUGUUUUCAUCAUUUACCUACUCGAGGACGAGCAGGAAUUAAGCUUGGGUGUCGGUGUCAAAACCGGCGGAUCUCGGGUAGGGGGCCCCGAACUGUGCGUCUAAGGCGGAUGGUAACAGGAGGCAGGGGACACAAUGUUUUACCCAGGUUCGGGCCCUCUUGAUGGAGGUAAAACCCUACGUCCUGCUUGAUUGAUAUUGAUGAUAUGGGUACUACAAGAGUAGAUCUACCACGAGAUCAGAGAGGCUAAACCCUAGAAGCUAGCCUAUGGUAUAAUUGUUGUUGUAUAUCAUCUAUCGACUAGCCUGGCCUCAGUUUAUAUAAUGCACCAGAGGCCUAGGAUAACAAGAGUCCUAGCCGAAUACGCCGGUGGGGAGGAGUCCUUGUCUUGACCACCAAGUCUUGUAGAAUCUUCCAUGUAUGCGGCAGCUGUGCGAACUAGCCCAUGAGUAUACGGCCAUGGGGGUCCUCAGCCCAAUCUAACAGAUCGGGAGAUGACGUGGUGAGUACCCCCUAGUCCAGGACACCAUCAGUAGCCCCCUGAACCGGUCUUCAAGUUAGAGACGCUCCUCGAUUCUUCCGGACUGUUCUUCAUCUUUGGUUGUCGGUCUUGGAAACUGGUUCAACAAAUCUUCCCAUCUUCGAUCUUGAGGAUCACCGAAAUGCAUUCGACGAGUUUACACAUCGGGUAUCCAAGGAGCCCCUUUAAGUGUCCGGCCUUUAUCAAUGCCUUGUUAUUUUUAGGCCACACCUCGGGUUUGAAGUUGUUCCCGGGAGGCAGUGUCCUCUUGCGUCCGAGCUCUAACGCCGGAUAGCAUUCGAGGUAUCUUUUGCAGCUGAGCACUAAUGCCGGACUACUUCCGAGCUCUAACGCCGAAAUGUAUCCAAGCUCCAACGCCGGACUGUGUCCAAGCUCCAACGCCGGACUAUAUCCAAGAUGUCAUAGAUCAUCUUGGUCCAAAAAAGUUGAAGGAGUUUAGCCGAGCUUAAUGCUGGAAAUGCCCUCUAUGGAGCCAGCCACUAGCGCCCGAGCUUUAUGCCGGACUACUUCCGAGGUGGUGCACCACCCCGACUGUGGGUCGAUUUUUUGUCAAUAUUUUUGAUUGGUGCAAUUUAUUCUCUGCCGAGAUAUAUAGCCAGUAGCCCUCAAGGUGUGUAUGGUCUAAAACCCGAGAUGCACCUGAAGGAUGACAUAAGGCCGCUGAUCCCAGUAGCUGCUGAGACUCAGGUUGAUUUGCAAAAUUGGCCUAAGGAUCAAGUCCUAGCUCGGCAGAAUACUUCGGGAUACAAAAAGCGGCGUGCUCAGUCCUCGAGACUCAGGUUGGGUGCGGCCAACCAACCUGAGGAUCAUAAUCUCCUCGGAAACUAUAUUGCACUUAAAAUUUUCUGCAUUGGACAGGCAAUGCAGUAGCCCCCGAGACACUGGUCGGGUGGCAACACCAGAUCAGGGGAUCGAUGUGCCCUUUAAUAUUUGUAAAUAAUAAGCCCGAAGCCCAGUAGCCCCCGAGCCUUAAUGCGGGCACGGGUGGCCGAAUUAAGGAUCGAUAUCCAUAUCAAAAUCACAAAUUAUGUGUAAUGACUCUAUGUAUCCAAGUACUUUACGUCAUUUAAUGCUCGGAUCCGCAUUGUACAAAACUUUGUUGACCGACCAUCGGCUUUCACCUCCUCGGCCAGUAGCCGAGGAGUGUUUGUCUUACUUUAUAAAGCCUUUAUGAGGGCAAGAAAAACAAGGCAAUCUGGCCAUACGGUUUUAUAAACAAAGGUACGCAGAGAGAUAUGUUAUAUUAGCGUUUUAACAUAAGAAAUGUCUUCCAAAGAAAAUAGUCCCGCUAUCGGUUCCUUUCUUUGGGUUGUCAUGCUAAGCAUGAUCAUGAGACCUUAGCUCUAAUAUAAGAGAAAAAUAUUGAGGAUUUUAGUUUGGGAGGCCAGUUAAUAGCCCCGGUAGUGUUCGGCGACAGUCGAGGUCAAGCCGUAAACACUUCGGCCAUUGUUAUGAAUGGCCCGUCAUUUAACAUAGUCAUCGGAUCGCUGACCAGUUUACGCUUAUUGUGACAGUCAGUUUUCAUAUUUCUCCACUGAGGUGCUUAACCAUGUGAGCUGGAAGCACAAUCAUAGUGGUUCUCCCUUUGCACGCCUAGCCGAACAAAGCGGAAUGUAGGAAGCAAGUGCAGGAGCCGGGCAACCCAACUAUUGACCGAAGACACAAUUCGAAACCGAUGCAUAUAUAGCAAUAUCCGAGAAUGUUUUUGCCGGAUACCUAAAGGUGUCCGGCAUUGCACUGCGAGACUUGUGCUGAAAACACACAAAUAGUUUAAAAGUGCCAAAAGCUUGGAAAACCAAAAAAUGUCAGUAAAAACUUAACGUCCGAACAAGAUCAAGUGUUCGGUGCCAAUCCGAAAAUUGGUGAUAGAAAAAAAGAGUGCUUCUGUCGUGCUUUAACAUGUCACAUCCUAUCUCAAGACUUCAGGCGGGUCAGCCUACGGCUUCAACCUCCUAUCCCGAAGGCGGAGUACUUCUCAUUAGGCCAGUUUAGCAAACUAAACUCUAGCGGCUUUGAGAGAGAAAUUAGGCUCCCUGGCUAGUGACCACACACUCGUGUCAAAAAAAGGAGUGAUGGAAAAAGACUUUGCAACGACCAAGAAGAAAACACAUUUACUAUAAAAUAGCUCAUAUAAAUUUUAAGAGCCCCCAAGUGACUUGGGAAAAGAAUUUUAUGCAUAAUGAUUGUAUGUACCGAAGUACUUAUAUCAUAUCUUUGUUCAACCGAACUUUAAAUGCGUCUUAACCGACCGUCGGCUUCUCCCUCUUCGGUCAAGGACCGAAAAGUGUUAUGUACUCCACCUGUCGAGAAUAUCGACAGUGUUUCUGAUAACCAGGCAACCGGGCCAUAAGGCUGUAACAAACAAAGCGCGCUCAGGGAAGUUAUGCUAUAUUACAAACGAAGUGUAAGAAGCAUCUUCGAAGAAAAUAGUGCCCCCACCGAUACCUUUCUUCGGUGCUCAUUAUUACUAUGAGACUUGUGCAAUAGAUUUUUUGUACUCAUGAGUUCAGUUGUGUGCCGACCAUGAUUGAAAACAAUAAGAGUGCUAGCUUUCAGCUUCACCCAGUCUGAGGUCAGAGCUCGGUGGACCCGGUCGUGACAAUCGCAGAGGUGCUCCCUUUACUCCCUAGCCAAACAAUCGAGAACGUAGGGGUAAGCACAGGAGCCAGGCAACCCAGCUUGCAAAUUGCUUAAGUCAAUAUGGUGCAUAUUGUGGCGUAAUACAUGAACAAGGAACGAAGCCGUACAAGUAUAAUCAUAUGCAAGAGGAAAAGGUUCAUAAAGGAAGCCCCAAAUAAACAGGGUAUUUGAAUUUGUGUGUCACAAACAAAGUUUGGACAAGAAAAUAUUUUACAAGCAACUUUUUUCCAAAAAAGUAUAAUGCUUGGUCGAACCGAACACAAGUUAAAAAUUUAAAACUUGGAGCAUGAAGGCAACUUAGCUGGUUAAUGUGUUCGGUAUUGACGACACGGUCCGAGCUUGAUGCAGGACAAGGUUCCAUCCCCCAAGCCAGUCCCGAGGUGGUGGAGCAAAGAGCUCGGCACUCCGAAGUGGUGACAUGGCACGGUCAAUGCAGUGUUGACGAAGCCCCCCGUCCAGCCGAGGUGACGUGGUAUGUCAGUACGCCGAGUUGACGAUACUGCCCAACCCGGAUAAUUUUCCUAUGCACAAAAAAAAUAGUGCAAACCGGAGAUAAUAGUAAUGAUAAUAAUAAAAAAUGUUGCAUAAUAAAUAAUUUAUGCAAAGUGAGUAAUAAAAGAAAUAUGGCCUGGCGCCGAAGUCAAUGUCGAUGCAGGGCGUCGGCGUGGUGCGGUAAAGGUGUGGCAAAGCCUGAAUUCACAGGUCGGUCCCAGUUCCGGAUGCGGCGUUCGCCGGACUAUGUACGGAAACUGACCAAACCACCACGCGACCAUCAUUAAUGCGACCAUCAUUUCAUAGACCUGUGUACAGAUGAUGGACAAACCAGAGUAAUAAUUCCUUGGGAAAAAUAAACCCAAACAAGCAAAAAAUACUAGGAUUAAUAGCACCUGGUUUAUUUGUUGUAGCAGUCCGAAGAAAGGUGAUUCCCAGAAUUGGGACUCGAUCCACACACCCAUUGCCUGAUGGGCGAUAAAGCGAAGGCAUGGCAAUGCUGGCAAAGGUCGGCUUGCCGAGGCAAAGCCCUCGGCCCAGCUAAUCGUGACGAAGCUGGUCGGCUGGUGACGCCAAAGUCACCGGAGUAGGUUGAUGAAGAGAUGAUGAAGCCCCCGGUCCAGCCGAGAUGUCGAAGCCUCGAUGUCAGCCGAUGAGUCGAAGUAGGUUGGCGUGAUGGACACCAGCUUGAAGAAGCAACAGUGCAGCCCUGCCGAUGCAGGUCGUGACGUGGUCGAUGCCGGCUUGAUGAAGUGACCGUGCGGCGAUGCCGGUAUGCCCGCUCCGUGUAAUCCGUGGGGCGGCGAUGUUGGUGAUGAUUUAUCCUUCGCGAUGCCGGACUCUUGCUCGGCUUGCCGAGAUAAUGAUCCAAAGAAGUUGAGCUCGGCUCAACAAAGUGACGACGUGUCUAGCGCAGGUCGGCAGCCGUGGAGCAAUAUUGCCGAACUGGUUUGACACUAGCAUGAUGUUGAAGAUCAUGUUCAAAAGAUCUUAAAGUUGGUGGGAGGUGUUCAGGAACAAAACACAAUACCCGAUACAACACUUCCUUCAAAAGGGAUGUCCGAAAUCCCGUUCAUAAAAAAGACGAAUUCGGGUCGGAUUCGUUUUCGCGCAGAAAACAGAUCCAAAAAGUGAUGCACUAAUCGGAAGGUUCCCGGUGUUUGGACGGUCGGAUCGAGCUGAAAUUUUGAGAGGUGGUGGAUAUAGGAAUCCCGCAGCAGAUCAACAGUUGGAUUUUCCAAAGGAUGUCCGAGCUAGAAGCUGGACACCACGCCCUAAACUCGUCCAGAUUCUCGUGUAGAUUUGACAGGGCUCCGGUAUAUCGUGGAUUGCCAGACAUUCCUCCAUCGGAACUUGAGGAAAUUUUCCAGGGUUGUUGUAGACUCAAUUCUGCACAAUUCCACCGAAGCAAUCGUUAAAGAGACACUUGAGGAGGCGGUGGCGGCGGACACAAGUUUGCUGUCUAGAAAAACAACACGGUCGCCUGAGGGCAAUGUUGACGUUGAGCCCCCGGGCUCCCUGGAUGAUUCCUCCAUGAUCUUGAUAGACAUCGGAGUGGAUGUUUAUAAAGGCCCUCAUCCGAACAUGACGAUCGGAGGUAGGGCGCAGUCCUUGGUCGAACCAAGGUGACCAGUCAAGCUGGUGACGAAAAUGCCGAAGUCGCAGUUGAUCUGCAGGCGAGCCAUCAACCUUUUGCCGAACAACAACGAAACUCUCAAUGAAAGCACCAAUGUCGGUGUCAAAAUCGGCGGAUCUCGGGUAGGGGGUCCCGAACUAUGCGUUAAGGCGGAUGGUAAUAGGAGGCAGGGGACAUAAUGUUUUACCCAGGUUCGGGCCCUCUUGAUGGAAGUAAAACCAUACGUCCUGCUUGAUUGAUAUUGAUGAUAUGGGUACUACAAGAGUAGAUCUACCACGAGAUCAGAGAGGCUAAACCCUAGAAGCUAGCCUAUGGUAUAAUUGUUGUUGUAUAUCAUCUAUCGACUAGCCUGACCUCGGUUUAUAUAAUGCACCAGAGGCCUAGGAUAACAAGAGUCCUAGCCGAAUACGCCGGUGGGGAGGAGUCCUUUAAUUGAUCACCAAGUCUAGUAGAAUCUUCCAUGCAUGCGGCAGCUGUCCGAACUGGCCCAUGAGUAUACGGCCAUGGGGGUCCUCGGCCCAAUCUAACAGAACGGGAGAUGACGUGGUGAGUACCCCCUAGUCCAGGACACCGUCAUUGGGGAUGCUUGAUAGUCUCCAACGUAUCUAUAAUUUUUGAUUGCUCCAUGCUAUAUUAUCUACUAUUUUGGACUAUAUUGGGCUUUAUUUUCCACUUUUAUAUUAUUUUUGGGACUAACCUAUUAACCAGAGGCCCAGCCCAGAAUUGCUAUUUUUGCCUAUUUCAGUAUUUCAGAGAAAUAGAACAUCAAACAGAGUCCAAACGAAAUGAAACCUUCGGAAACGUGAUUUUCUCAUCAGAUAAGAUCUAGGAGACUUGGACCCUCCGUCAAGAAAGCCAUGAGGCGGUCACGAGAGUGGAGGGCGCCCCCCUAGUGCGCGCCCCUGCCUCAUGGGCCCCUCAAAGCUCCACCGACAUACUCCUUCCACCUAUAUAUACCUACGUACCCCCAAACGAUCGGGGACGGAGCCAAAAACCUAAUUCCACCGCUGCAACUUUCUGUAUCCACGAGAUCCCAUCUUGGGGCCUGUUCCGGAGCUCCGCCGGAGGAGGCAUCGAUCACAGAGGGCUUCUACAUCAUCAUCCAAGCCCAUCCGAUGAAGUGUGAUUAGUUUACUUCAGACCUACGGGUCCAUAGUUAGUAGCUAAAUGGCUUCUCCUCUCUUUUUGGAUCUCAAUACAAUGUUCUCCCCCUCUCUUGUGGAGAUCUAUUCGAUGCAAUCUUCUUUUUGCGAUGUGUUUGUUGAGACCGAUGAAUUGUGGGUUUAUGAUCCAGUCUAUCUAUGAAUAAUAUUUGAAUCUUCUCUGAAUUCUUUUAUGUAUGAUUGGUUAUCUUUGCAAGUCUCUUAGAAUUAUCAGUUUGGUUUGGCCUACUAGAUUGGUUUUUCUUGUCAUGGGAGAAGUGCUUAGCUUUGGGUUCGAUCUUGCGGUGUCCUUUCCCAGUGAUAGAAGGGGCAACAAGGCACGUAUUGUAUCAUUGCCAUCGAGGAUAACAAGAUGGGGUUUUUAUCAUAUUGCAUGAAACUAUCCCUCUACAUCAUGUCAUCUUGCUUAAGGCGUUACUCUGUUUUUAACUUAGUACUCUAGAUGCAUGCUGGAUAGCGGUCGAUGAGUGGAGUAAUAGUAGUAGAUGCAGGCAGGAGUCGGUCUACUUGUCUCGGACGUGAUGCCUAUAUACAUGAUCAUACCUAGAUAUUCUCAUAACUAUGCUCAAUUCUGUCAAUUGCUCAACAGUAAUUUGUUCACCCACCGUAGAAUACUUAUGCUCUUGAGAGAAGCUACUAUUGAAACCUAUGGCCCCCGGCUCUCUUUAUCAUCAUAUCAAUCUCCAUCACUUUAUUAUUGCUUUGCUUUUACUUUUUACUUUGCAUCUCUAUACCAAAAAUACCAAAAAUAUUAUUUAUCAUCUCUAUCAGAUCUCACUUUCGUAAGUGACCGUGAAUGGAUUGACAACCCCUAAGCGCGUUGGUUGCGUUGAGCUAUUGUUUUUGUGUAGGUACGAGGGACUCGCGUGUAGCCUCCUACUGGAUUGAUACCUUGGUUCUCAAAAACUGAGGGAAAUACUUACGCUACUUUGCUGCAUCAUCCUCUCCUCUUCGGGGAAAUCCAACGCAGUGCUCAAGAGGUAGCAGAUGGACCCUCCUGGGACCCAGGCUGGGGCUGCGUGCGAUCGGGCGAGGCAUCGAAAGCCAAUCAUUUCAGUAGGUAUGUACAUCCCACACAGUAAUCUGAGAAAAUCAUUUAUGUAGGUAUGUACAUCCCACACGGUAAUCCGAGAAAAUCAUUUCCGUAGGUAUGUACAUCCCACACGGUGAAUCUCAGAAUUCCGUUCGUAUGUAAAGCAGACACAGUCAAUCCAAGGAAUACAUUUCCGUUCUUAUGUACAACCCACACAGUCAAUCCAGGGAAAACAUUUCUGUUCGGAUGUACAUCCCACAUGGUUUUAUGUAUACGCUCGUGUGUGAAAGGUGUAACUAUCACACACGCUCUGCCUUGGUUAACUGUUUGCUUUCAUUAACUACAUCACACACGAUUUGAUGGAGAAAACUGUGUGACAUUGGGCUAUCUAUCGCAAGUGCUUUUACUGCUAGAACCGUUUGCAAAGGUCCAUGACUAUCCCUUCUAUUUUUAUUUUUGUGUGUAAUUUAUUAUUAUAAUUGAAAAUUUUGAAAUACGAAACAUGCAAUUCAAAUUCUCAGCACAAUGGUUCAACAACGAAUCCAGAAAUAAAAUUGACAGUACAAUAUGUUCAGUAAUUACAUGAUUAGGCAGCAAUUAACUAUGAUGAACCGCAGUAUUUAAAGGCGACAAAGGUGAAGAGACAAGUUUAAACCAUUUUGACUGCCGACGGUGUUGAAGAAGAGGAAUGCCCAUAAUGUGCCUUCCUGCAUGCCAUAGGCACGAACCACUUUUGUCCAACCCCUUGUGACGAUCGCCCACCCAUCCUUCACCGCCUUCAGGAAGACUUAUAGAGCAUUAUCAUGGUAGCAUGAAUUAUAUACGUUAACCUUAGUUGCCUCCACUCUGUUCAUGUAGUUUGUAAGGUAAUAAUCAGUAAAUAGCUUCGGAAACCACUGAAAGAGAAAAAUAUCAGAAACUAAGGUCUAAUAGAGUAACUUGUUGUGGGCAGGGGGAAAAGGCAACACAUUACUUACCAUCCUAAAGUUCACUGUUGUCUUUGACAAAGUGUAAAUAAAGAGCUUAAUUCCAAUCACUCGUUUCUUUCGCCUAACAAUCUUUCUUAGUUUCCUCACUUGACACUUGUUCACGAAUAUCACAUUGCCCCAUACGCAAAAGGGAUCGAAGCGUGGAUCAGUACCCCUCAUAUAUGUACCUACAAGCAACCAGUAAAUGCUAGAAGCUAAACUAAGAUUGCACAAAUGAUGUAAAAUAUAACUACCUAUGUUCCUAAGUACAGGUAUUUUUUUGAGAUUUCAAUACGAACUACAUACGGAUGUAUAUAGAAUUAUAGAUAUAGUUUAGAUUAGAAUCUAGAUUCACUCAUUUUACUCCUUAUGUAGUCUAUAUUGGAAUCUCUAAAAAUACUUACAAUUAGGAAUAGAUGGUGUAUAAGACAUGGGAUGCAGCUAACCUCGACGGCAAACAACAUCAUCGUCCAUUGUAGCCCUAUGUAUGUACAUGGAAAGCCAAUGUUAACUACAACAUGGUUAACAUCCACCAAAAAUAGCAAAUGGUAAUAAAACGACAGCAUCUAUAGUGAUAUCUUCAUUUUGAAAGAGUAGCACGGUAGCAAAGGGACGGAUUGAAAAUGGAUACAACUGUUAAUUGCAACAGGCUUAAUGGCAAUUGAAACCGGUACUGAUAAAAAUGCAAUUGGCAAAGUUAAACAUCACAGGGCAGGUGCUGCCAGAGCAGAUAAUGGCCCAGUUCUCUAUAAAAAAGGUAGGGAAAAUAGCUCAAACGUGUUAGGCAUGUUUACUACAACAUGCUUAAUACAUCGAUAGUACAAAACAUAGCCAUUAAUUGCAACUGGUAUUGGUAAGAUUGAACUGGUGGGUACAUACUUGGUAAGUCCUGAGAGGUAGUUGCUGGGGCACUUCAUCUUGGCCAUAGCCCGCCCAAAGUCAGCGGUGGCGGAGGCGAGCUGUUCCUCCGGGUCGAACCGUGGAUCAGUGCCACUGACAUGUGUACCUACAUGCAACCAGUAAAUGGUAGAAGUUAAACUGCAAUUGCACAAAUGAUGUGAACUAUUGUAAGACAUGGGAUGCAGCUAUCCUUGACGGCAAACAACAACAUCGACCGUUAUGACCCUGCGUAAGUACAUGGACAAGCAUGUUAAGUACAACAGGGUUAGCAUCCACAAAAAAGCAAAUGGGGCAACAUCUCUAGUAUAUCUUCAUUGCGGAGAGUAGCAUGGUAGCAAAUGGACAGAUUAAAAAAUGGAUACAACUGUUAAUUGCAACAGGCUUAACAACAUCAUAAGUCAUGUUUUGUAAGUUUGUAGCCAUUGAAAUGCAACUGUCUAAAAAUGGAUUCAACUUUUAAUUGCAACAGGCUUAAUAGACAUUGAAAUGGGUACUGAUAAAAAUGCAAUUGGCAUAGUUAAACAUCACAAGGCAGGUGCUGCCAGAGCAGAGAAUGGCCCAGAUGUCUAUAAAAAGGUAGUGAAAUAGCAAAACAUGUUAGGCAUGUUUACUAGAACAUGCUUAAUACAUUGACUGUACAGAACAUAGCCAUUAAUUGCAACUGGUAUUGCUAAGAUUGAACUGGUGAGUACAUACUUGGUAAGUCCUGAGAGGUAGUUGCUGGGCCACUUCAUAUUGGCCAGAGCUCGCCCAAAGUCAGCGACAGCGGAGGUGAUAUGUUCCUCCGGGUCGAACCGUGGAUCAGUGCCACUGACAUGUGUACCUACAUGCAACCAGUAAAUGGUAGAAGUUAAACUGCAAUUGCACAAAUUAUGUGAAAUACUGUAGGACAUGGGAUGUAGCUCACCUCGACGGCAAACAAAAGCAUUAGCCGUUAUGACCCUGCGUAAGUACAUGGACAUGCAUGUUAAGUGCAACAGGGUUAGCAUCCACUAAAAAUAGCAAAUUGGCAGCAUCUCUAGUGAUAUCCUGAGUCAUGUAUUGUAAGUUUGUUGCUGGUAUUAGUGAAAUUGAGCUGGACACGGUAAUAUUUGAACAUCACACAAUGUGUAGUACUGAAAUAAACAAGGCACGAACAUGCUUAAUACAUCAACCGUACAAAUCAUAGUCGUUACAAGUGGUAUCGGUAAGAUUUAGCUGGUCAAAUCUUACCUGUUAAGUCCUAGAGGGUAGUCGCUGGGGGACUUCAUCUUGGCCAGAGCCUGCACCAUGUCGGUGGCGGCAGCGAAGGCGAGGUGUUCCUCCGGGUCAACACGCGCAGCGGCCAUCGCGCCAUGGACCGCCAUUAGCUCCUGGCGGCAGGGGGGAUUUGGAGGCAUGAGGAUGUUUCACAGGCGCCAUUUAAGCAAUCAGGCGGGGACGUGAUAGAGAUUGGUGGGUCACCUGACUGGAUCCGAGCAGAACAUAGAUGUGGUUGAAGCCGUGGUUGCGGCGGCGGCGGUCUGAGAUGCCGGUAGGGGGAGGCGCGAGGGAGGGGGGAUACUGAGGGGAAGGGGAUGUGGUUGGAGGAAUAAAUUCUGAAAUCGCACGCCUAAUGAAAAUUUCGGUGCGAAAUUUGAAACUUUGGCGGGGGAAAUAUACAACGUAGACGAAGCGCGUAAAAUACUCGUGUGCGAGAAAAAAGAAAGUUGGCAGAUCCCGUCUCCAAAAAAAUGUACACAUGUACUUGAUUUUUUUGGUCAAUGGUAUGCCUGGUUUAUUAGAAAAUAUCGCACGGGUAACUGACUUAUGGGUCAUUAACGCAAAAAACGCAGAUGGGUACGGCAUAUUAACCGUGUGUUUUGUGAUCUUCUAAUGAUUAACGCAAAAAAACGCACACGGGCACACAUGCUAAUCAACGCCCAAAGACCACAAAGGAUGCUUUUACCGACAUUGUACGUUAAUACUACAAACUUAAAGUACUAUUGGUAAUUUUCUCUAAUACUACAAACUUAAACUACUUCUCACAUGCGGCCAUCAGGGCAUGCUGGCCAGACGCCGGCGUUCUCCAUCCCGGCCUUGUAGGCGGCAGCCCACCAUGCUUCGAUCUCAGCCAAGCUCUCCUCACCAUGGCGUGCAGCCUCUUUUUUCUUACGGCAGCGAGACUCUCUUUUCUUGACUGCUUUCUGCCUUUUCCGCUCCUUCUGUGCGGCUUUGGCUUCCUCUAGAUCCACCACCCAUUCGGCCAUGGCAGCGUCAAAGUCCGCCCAUGUAACUGUAUGGCCACCGAUGACGAUGAACUCGGCACGGCGAGAUGCCAUCACUUCCUUACCAUGUGUGCGGUCGCGGGCGGCGAGGAACGCGGCACAGGGGGGAUGCCAUCGCUUCCUUACCAGUUACUGUGCGCUGCGGUGCCAUGGACGUCUCCUGGUGAGAGCUCUGGGAUGGAGGGGCCGGGCAGCCGUACAGUGCGGUGGUAUUCAAGAGCUCAAAAACAAACAACAACAGAAAUUUGGGUUCCCUUACAAUUUUGCUCGUUCAUUAUAGCACACGGUUCAUCUUCGUCGCUUCCAGAAACAGUGUGCACUGAGCCUAUUGUGUGCUGCAUUAUGAUUGGACGGAACCCUAGCCACGCGGAUCGCGCGUGUGCAUCGUUGCAUGCGCCGCGAUCGAGCGGCAAUCCACGUCCCUCACAUCACACCCGUGCACCUGUAGCUGCAUUGGAUUUAUAUGCGCUAAAUGCCUAGAAAAUGCACAUAAUAUCCUAAAUAUGGUAAAUGAGCCCGGAAAAAUGCCAAAUUUGAACACGGUGAUUUGCUGGGUGUAUGUUCGCGUAGAAAAAAACUCCAGGGCAAAGAACGAAGAAAUUUUGGAUUCCCCUUCAAUCUUGAGGAUUUCCCUUUCGAAAGCAUGGAACUUCCUCGGUGAUGGUUCGAUUUAUGAAGGGCGUGCAUGACAACAUAAGCCAAACAUUCUCAAAUUUUUACCAAGGCAUGGUGUGGUCAUACCAUGGCACCAUGCCAGGCAUCAUGUUUUUUAAGCAUUUAUUUCAUUUUUUCUAUAGUUGAAAACCCAACAAACAGACAUUUGUGGUUGACUAUUUGUAACGCCCCGAGACCGAUGCACCAGGUGUCUUCCAGUUAUUCAUGUUGAGUGCCUUGUCAUAUCUUUACUUCUUGCACCAUGCUCAUCUCAUUUGGGUAUAUUGCUUUGUCAUGCCCAUCAUCAUCUUAUUGCAUUGCCUCUUGUCAUUUUGCAUGCUAAUCAUAUACCUUGUGGUAAUCUUCAUAUUGUUGCCAUGUGCAUUUCUUUCAUCCUUAUGUGGUGUGUUGUUGUUAUGAUGUGUGUGAGCAUCAUUCCUUGUCAUCUCUCUCAAGCCAUACCCAUGCAUCAUCACCUCUCACUUCCUUCUUCUUUCAUGUUUUUGCAAGUGACUUUAUUCCUCCUUCAUUAAUGUUCGUCCUUUCCCUAUAAAUCUUGCCUCUUUCCUACACCCUCUCUGUCAGAUUUCAUCCCAUUCAAAGUUGUUUUGGUCAGGUUCAAAAAUGAUUGAAGUUUGAGCAUAAUCCAAACUCUAAUUAUUUUUCUGAUUUCUAAAAAUGAAAGAGCAAUUUAUUAAAACCCUACAUAAAUCCAGGGUUCCAGAUAUAUAUUCAUAUAUCUCAUAUUCCUAACCAAAACCCGUGGACUUUCCCCUUUGUUGAUUGUUUAUUUAUAUAAAGAAAAAAAUAAAAUAAAGGAAAAGGCCCCUUACUUGUUCAGCUACUCACUGGGACUCCCAACUCCUACGCAGGCCACAAACCUGCAGCUCGGCCGACCUUUAGGCCCAACCGCCCCACCUACACCUAACCCUAGCCUCGACCGACCUAUCCCUCUCUCUCCCCUGCUCGUUCCCACCGCCGCCAGAAGCCAUCUCCCUCGACUCCUCCUCUAGCGCCGCCAGAGACAUGCACGCAGGCGCAGUCCUCUGCUUCGACCCGACCUCAUCCUUUCCCUUGUUCCCUUGUGUCGGCUCCCCCUCAUAUCGAUCUUUCCCUGUCCUCUCGCUCAAGCUAACCACCCCGCGGCCCCGCAAGCUCGCCUGCCCGCACGGCCAUGGCUUCGCCGCCCUCGACCCGGCUCACCCUUGACGCCCCCUUCGCUGGAGCCCUUCCUCCGCCUCUGCUUUGGCCUCCCGUGAUAGCCACGCCGCGCCCUCAAGCGCCUCACCUCCCACAGCCGGUCGAGGACCUCCUCGUCGCCUCCUCAUCUACCCGGCGCCACUGACUCGUCAGCUCCGUCGCCAGGGGAGGAGACCCUCAACCUGUCCCCUUCGGCCCUGACUCCGGCGAGUGCCGCCCUGUCGACUCUCCUCCGCGCGACGCCUCCCCUCUGCUGCCUUGUUCCUUUGCCUGCGACUGCCCUUUUCUUUCCCGCCUUGCCUCACGCGACCCACAUGGGCGCCGGCCAUGGAGGCCACCGUGCCGGCCUGCAGCUUUGCGCGUGCUGCCUUGCCUUCCUGCUACUUCGUCCGACUUCGGACGACCUCCAUCGAGCUCGCCCGGCCACCUUCAACCUCGGCGUGGCCCUGCCUCCACUAGCAGCCUCCUGGAGCCGGCCAUUUCCAUGGGUUCGGGGAGCCCCAAGUCUUGUCCGUGGCCUCGUUGGCUGUUGAUGUUACGCUGUUGGCUUUCUCCAUCGUCUCCCCGGGCUCGUCAAAUCCUGUACCAGGAGCCCAAGCCGGAAGACUCCAUGGAUGUGCAUCUCACUUGUGCCAUUUUGGAUCGUCAAGAACGUUUCGAGAUUCGCCAAGUACCAUUACGCCCGGAGACCACGGAUCCGUCAAGUUCCACUACCGUCGCCAUGGAUCCGACAAGUUCGCGAGUACGACCACUUACCACGACGACCUUGUACCACUACCGUCGAUGAAGACAUGUGCACCGCAAGCGUCAAGUUCAACUACCGUCGACGGCGAAGGGUUUGGAGUCAUCAGGCACCUCUCUGAACGAACGGGAACGACUAUCGUAGCCGAGAUCACGAGAACCUCUACCGACGACCUCGAAACGUGUACGAUGACCGUUGUCGAAGACACGUACCACUACUGCUUCCUGAACGUGUACCACGACUUCCAUGACUUCCGUGAACCGCUACUUCCACGACGGUCAUGAACGACUACUUCCCUCCAUGAACUCGAUACGCUUCGAAAACGUACGCUUCGAAGGUAUAGCCCCGAGACGACCGUCCGAGAAUGAUUGCUUGUGUUGUAUGAGAUGCACCGGUUGUCUGCACUGUGUCGGUAGUGUCUCUCGCUUCCAUGCUGUCGACAGUUGGGACACCCGGUAACCAGGAGGACCCCACCCUUUAUAUAUUUCAUAUUCCUAACCAAAACCCCUGGACUUUCCCCUUUGUUGAUUGUUUAUUUAUAUAAACCAAGAAAUAAAAGAAAGGAAAAGGCCCCUUACUUGCUCAGCUACUCACUAGGCCUCCCAACUCCUACGCAGGCCGCAAACCUGCAGCUGGGCCGGCCUUUAGGCCCAGCCGCCCCACCUACACCUAACCCUAGCCUCAACCGACCUCUCCCUCUCGAUCCCCUGCUCGUUCCUACCGCCACCAGAAGCCUUCUCCCUCGACUCCUCCUCUAGCGCCGCCAGAGACAUGCAUGCAGGUGUAGUCCUCUGCUUCUACCCAACCUCAUCCUUUCCCUUGUUCCCUUGCGCCGCCUCCCCCUCAUAUCGAUCUCUCCCUCUCCUCUCGCUCUAGCCAACCACCCCGCGGCCCCAUGAGCUCGCCUGCCCGCACGGCCAUGGCUUCGCCGCCCUCGACCCAACUCGCCCUCGACGUCCCCUUCACCAGAGUCCUUCCUCCGCCUCUUCUCCAGCCUCCCACGAUAGCCAUGCCCCGCCCUCAAGCGCCUCACCUCCCGCAGCCGGUCCAGGACCUCCUCGUCUAACCGGCGCCACUGACUCGUCAGCUCCAUCGCCAGGGGAGGAGCCCCUCGACCUGUCCCCUUCGGCCCCGACUCCGGCGAGCGCCACCCCAUCGACUCUCCUUCGCGCGACAGCUCCCCUCUGCUACCUCGUUCCUCUGCCUGCAAUUGUCCUUUGCUCUCCCGCCUUGCCUCACGUGACCCACAUGGGCGCCGGCCAUGGAGGCCACCGUGCUGGCCUGGAGCUUCACGCAUGCUGCCUUGCCUUGCUGCUGCUUUGUCCGACCGCGGACAACCUCCGUCGAGCUCGCCGGCCACCUUUGACCUCGGCGUGGCCUUGCCUCCACUAGCAGCCUCCUGGUGCUGGCCGUUUCCAUGGGUUCGGGGAGCCCCAAGUGUUGUCCGUGGCCUCGUUGGCUGUUGAUGUUAUGCUGUUGGCUUUCUCCAUCGUCUCCCUGGGCUAUUCAAAUCCUGUACCACGAGCCCAAGCCGAAAGACUCCAUGGAUGUGCAUCUCACUUGUGCCAUUUUGGAUCAUAAAGAACGUUUCGAGAUUCGCCAAGUACCAUUACGCUUGGAGACCACGGACCCGUGAAGUUCCACUACCGCCGCCAUGGAUCCGACAAGUUCGCGAGUAUGAUCACUUCCCACGAUGACCUUGUACCACUACCGUCGACGAAGACAUGUGCACCGCAAGCGUCAAGUUCAACUACCGUCGACCGCAAAGGGUUUGGAGUCAUCAAGCACCUCUCCGAAUGAACGGGAAUGACUAUCAUCGCCGAGAUCAUGAGAACCUCUACCGACGACCUCGGAACGUGUACGACGACCAUUGUCGAAGACCCGUACCUCUACCGCUUCCCGAACAUGUACCACGACUUCCACGACUUCUGUGAACCGCUACUUCCACGAUGGCCGUGAACGACUACUUCCCUCGACGAACUUGAUACACUAAAACGCAUGCUUCGAAGGUAUAACCCCGAGACGACCAUCUGAGAACGAUUGCUUGUGUUGUAUGCGAUGCACCCGUUGUCUGCACCGUGUCCGUAGUGUCUCUCGCUUCCAUGUUGUCUACACUUGGGACAGCCGGUAACCGAGAGGACCCCACCUUCUAUCGCAUGUCACACUCCCGUCACUUUUCCUUUUGCAUCGGUAUCUCCAUGAGCUAUCGGAACCGGAAUGAUGCCGUGGCACCAUUUCCGUUGUCAUUGUCGUGGCACCCCUUUAUUUCCACCAUGGUGACAAAUGUUUCAUAAUGCUCUUAUCAACAUUUUCAUAAAAUUGCAUAAACUUGCAUAUGCCAUCCGCAUCAUGAUAAUAACAUUAAAAAAUUUUAAAUUGUUGUUUGCAUUAAAAUGCUAAUGCAUAUGGGGAUUUACCGGUAUUGUUGUUUGUUAUUUCCGGCCUCAUUUAAACUUGCCUAAUGUUUAGUUUACUUAUGCUCCACCUCUUGCCAUGAUUAAACAACAUUUAAUUUUGUUGAGUAGUUUAAACGGGAGAGAACUAAAUAAUUAAAUGUGGUGUUUCGUCAAUAUGCAAGUCGUUGCAUAUUGAGCUCCACUUAACUUGUAGUUUUGCUUGUGCACUUUGCCAUGCCAUGCCUCAUUAAACCGUACAUGCAUCAUACUUGGUUGUGCAUCAUGCCAUGUUUAUGUGAUGGUUGUUUACCAUGUUGUUUGCUCCUUUCCAGUGUUGCUUCUUCUUGUUAGUUCCGGUAACGUCGCGUUUGUGAGGAUCCGUUCGACUAUGUCCGUUUGUCUUCUUCAUGGACUUGUUCUUCUUCCUCGCGGGAUCUCAGGCAAGAUGACCAUACCCUCAAAAUCACUUCUAUCUUUGCUUGCUAGUUGUUCGCUAUAUUGCUAUGCCGCGCUACCUACCACUUGCUAUAUCAUGCCUCCCAUAUUGCCAUGUUAAGCCUCUAACCCACUUUUCCUAGCAAACCGUUGUUUGGCUAUGUUACCGCUUUUGCUAAGCCCCUCUUAUAGUGUUGCUAGUUGCAGGUGAAGAUGAAGUUUGUUCCUUGUUGGAACAUGGAUAUUGUUGGGAUAUCAUUAUUAUAUCGUAUUUACUUUAAUGCAUCUAUAUACUUGGUAAAGGGUGGAAGGCUCGGCCUUAUGCCUGGUGUUUUGUUCCACUCUUGCUGCCCUAGUUUCCGUCAUACCAGUGUUAUAUUCCUUCAUUUUGCGUCCCUUACGCGGUUGGGUGUUAUGGGAACCCCCUGACAGUUCGCUUUGAAUAAAACUCCUCCAGCAAGGCCCAACCUUGGUUUUACAUUUGCCUAACAACCUAUCACCUUCCCUUGGGUUCUGCAGACCCGAGGGCCAUCUUUAUUUUACCCCCCCAUCCCCCGGGCCAGUGCUUCUCUAAGUGUUGGUCCGAACUAGAGCCCCUUGCAGCGCCACCUCGGGGAAACUUGAGGGCUACUUUUAGUUGUACAGAUUGAUCAUUUGGUGUUGCCCUGAGAACGAGAUAUGUGCAGCUCCUAUCGGGAUUGUCGGCACAUUGGGCGACUUUGCUGGUCUUGUUUUACCAUUGUCAAAACGUUUUGUAACCGAGAUUCUGAGAUUGAUCGGGUCUUCUCGGGAGAAGGAAUAUGUCAGGACCCCGACUCGAUGUCACAUCGAUCUAGCCGGUAACACUUCAUAUCACUUUGCGGCCUCACGCACGGUAUUCCCACGGGUGUCGCCUUACCUUUGCCCGGGACCGUUUGCGCCUUUUGGCUCACGUAUAUGAUAGUGUCGCUAGCAUCCAUAUGAUAAAGAGCCCGGGCUGACAUGACUAGUCGUAAACCCAAAGUGGCACAGACUUACAGGGACAGGCAUCCAUGACCCAGCUUCGAACGUGUCGGUCAUCAGCAAGUGGGUCCGGGCUGUAGCACUGGGCUAGCAGGACUCCGGUAAACCGGGCUGUAGCGGGCUAACAGGACUCCGGUACUCAAAGCGUGACAUUUCCCCGAAGGGACAGACACAGGAACGAAGAAGGACACAUGCCGGCCAGCCUAAGUGUUCCAGAGCAGUAGCAUGCUACCAUGGCUCAGCGGUAACACUAGGAGACAUUUCCCGGUAAGAGAGGCUACUAAAGAUAAACAACUAGGUAGUCAGAUCCCACACAUACCAAGCAUUUCAAUCAUACACACAAUAUGCUCGAUAUGUGCAAAUAUAACGAAGCAUCACAACAUGACUCUACGACACAAGUACUUUUAUUUAAGGCUCAGCGAGCCAUACAUAACAUACACACAAAGGUACGGGUCUCACGACCCAACAUACAAGUCAUACAGUCAUACAAGCCAACAGCGGAAGAAACUUGUCUGAGUACAGACAACUAGUAAAAUAAAAGAGGCUCGGAAGCCUAACUACACUAUGUGGUCCAUCACAAGCUCAGGGUCACCACCUGGGUCUUUAGCCUACUCGUUGAUGUCAACGUCUACAUAGAACCCAUCAGAAGGGGUUGCAGCGUCUUCUGUAAAAAUGUAGAUUAUAGCAACAUGAGUACAAAGGUACUCAGCAAGACUUACAUCAGAUCCUACAUACAUGCAUAGUAUCAAGAAGGGUUGGUGGAGUUAUUGCAGCAAGCCAGCUUUGACUCCUGGCUAGACUAUCCUACGAUACUCCAAUUUGAAAUGUUUUGCGCACACGAGUCCACUACUCACCACUUCAAUACACUACCGAGGAUCCACCUCCGUCUUCCUACGGAAGACCCAUCCUCGGCACUCACACUUAUCUUGAGGCUUUUAAUAGUUUCCAUUUACUUGUCUAUGAACUGUAUAGGCAACCAAGUAGUCCUUUACCGCGGACGCGGCUAUUCGAAUAGAUCAUGUUAACCCUGCAGGGGUGUACUUCUUCAUACACGCUCUCACCACUUAUCGUCGUUUACACGACAUGUACUCGGCAACCUUCAAGCGGAAGCCCAACGUGGGUGUCGGCCACGACCUACCUAAUCACCUAAGCCUCCAGUCCAGGUUUAUCGCCUAUUCAGGUUCCAUCCGCAGGGAGUCCGGCCGAGGUUUCCCAUACGGCCCCGAACGAUGUGAACAGGGUUCCCGAGAUACCUAACGGGUAUUCGGUACACCGUGCCACGUACCUACCGCAUCAUAGCCCACCCCUACGGUCAGCGCUGUCCACGGCCUCCAGUAGGCUACAAACACCAGAAACUACUUGCAACUCCUGGACGGAGAACUAGGGUGAAUAAGAAGUCGAGAGGGUCCAUUGGUUUCGGGCCCAAUGCAUGGUAGUAGCUGAUUCUUAAAUCACACAUACAGAUCUCAGUGCUUAAGGUCGGCUUCAAUGAAACAACCCACCAUGUACUCCUACAUGGCCUCUCAUCGAUACCUUUACCAAAUCGUGUUCACCACACUACUCUCAUUACUGACAUAAUCAUUUCACUCUAGCCCAUCACCCAGAUGAACCAGACCUGACUCAACUCUAAGCAUAGCAGGCAUAGCAAGGUAGGAACAACACAUACAUAUGGCUCAAUCAACUCCUACACAUGCUAGUGGGUUUCAUCUAGUUACUGUGGCAAUGACAGGUCAUGCAGAGGAAAUGGGUUCAACUACCGUAGCACACAGCAGUUUGAAUCGCGUUGUCUUAAUGCAGUAAAAGAGAGCAGGAGCGAGAACAUGGGAUUGUAUCGAUAUGAUCAAAUGGUUGGUUGCUUGCCUGAUGGUUCGUUGCACGGAUACGGUUCUUCGUUAGGGUAAUCACGGUACUCCUCGGGAACAGAUCCUGUCGCAAAGGACAUCGAUACACAAACAUCACCAAACAAUAUGCAACAAUAUGAUGCAUGCAUGAAACAUGGCAAUAUGAGUGUGUUGGGCUAAUGCAACUAAAACCAGAAGGGUUUGAACAAAUUUGAAUCAAAGAUUCAAAUUUCAAUUUCAAAUAUGGCCUUUUAAAGGGCCUUUCCUUGUUCUGAUUAAAACAUCAACUUAACUUGUUUGAUCAUGCAUGAAAAUGGUACAGAUGGAUAGAUUGGAUUUUUCUGAUCAUUUUUCAUAUAUUAUUUGUCCAAUUUGGAGUUACAGAAUAAAAGUUAUGAAUUUUUGAAGUUUAAAUAAUAUUCUGGAAUUUCCUGAUUUAAUUUAAAUCCAGAAAUAUCAUUUACUGCGUCAGCCUGACAUCAUAGUGACAUCAGCAGGUCAACAGGGCUGGCUCGGGUCAAACCUGACGUGUGGGGUCCACACGUCAGUGUCACAGGGGCUAAUCCCGCGUUGACCCCGGGCUGGUUAGCUUUGACUAAGCCCUGGGGCCCACUUGUCAGCGUCAGUAGGUGGUGGAUUAGUGGUUAAUUAGCUGGGCCACGUCAGCUCGCCGGAGUUCUGGCCGGCGGCGACCAACAGUGCGGCGGCGAUAGUGGUUUUGGUCGUUUCGGCCACCAAAUGGAACGUGGCGACCACCGGAGUGAAGCUGAGGACGACCCGCGGCUCUUGGCGGAGUCCGUUGGGGUCGGGGUGGCCGGAGUCGACGGCGGCGAGCUCAGCUGCGGCCGCCGGGGUUCGGUCGUGCACGGGAGUGGUGCUGGAGCUCGAAGUUGAGCAAAGUGAGGCGCUAGGGAGGCUCUACUGGGUUCUGUGAACGCGUUGGACUCGCCGGGGUGACCAAGUGGUCACCGGAGCUGCGUCGACGGCGAGCUCGGCGACGGCGGAGGUUCGGCCGAGGUGGGGAUGCAGCUACGGUGAGGGAACGAGGGAAAGAAGAGGGGGGAACGGUGGCGUAGCUCACCGCGGUUGCAGUGGGCGUCGAAGCGGGCUCGGGGACGCGCUGGAGACGGCGAAUUCGUCGGCGACGGUGGUCGGAGUCCGAAGAGGGGAACGGCGACGUGGCGGCGAUGCAGGGCUUCCGGGGACUCGUGGAGCGGUGGGGAGGAAGAGGGAGUCGAGGCGGAGCUUCUGAGCUACUCGGGGGAGCGAGGGGUGGCCGGAGUCAGUGGCUACGGCGAACGGCGGCGACGGUGGUGUUCGGCCGAGAGCGAGAGAGAGCGAGGGAGAAGCGGGGGAGAGUGAGAGGGAGCAGGGGGGAUCGGGACGGGCUGCGGGCGUCGUCCACGCGGCCAGGGGGGCGUCGGCAAGCAGGAGGUGGCCGCGCGGCCGCGCGCGCGCGAGCACGCAGCAGCUUCGGGGCGUGGGGAGGAAGACGACGGGGAGCUACAGUGCUGGGCUGGCUAGCUGGGCCGGCCAGCUGGCUGGGCCGCACAGGUAAGUUUCUCCUCUCUUUUCUGUUUUCUGUUUUAAUUAAUAAUUCUGCAACUUUGUUGAAUUAAAUAAAAUACCUAGGCAACUCCAAAAAUCACCAAACUACUCCUGGUCCAUAGUUGGAAUAUUUCCAACAUGAAACAUUUUAGUUUGGAGAUAUUUGAGCAUUAAAAUAUUUUAUAUUAUUUUAAAUGCCCAAAUUCAAAUAGUUAUGAUUUAACUCAAGAACCCUAGGAUGGCCUAGAAAAGUGUGCACCAUUUUUGGCAGAGGUUCUGAACCAAGGCAAAAAUGAUGGGCAUUUUAGAAGGGCAUUUCAGGUUCAUUGAAAAUUAUUUUAGUAAACCCUAGUUGGUUAUCAGAGGGGACUGGGGGUUCUGUCAUCCCCAUUUCAAGUUUCUGAUGCAAAAGUAAACAUGAUGCAACACUCUAAUGCAUGACUAGCUAGGGUGUGACAACUCACCCCCACUCAAAAGAAUCUCGUCCCGAGAUUUGGGUUCCUCCGAGAAGAAGGCGGGAUACUCGAGUCGAAGACGAUCCUCCCUUUCCCAAGUUGCUUCAUCUUCAGAAUGGUGCGACCAUUGAACCUUGAGAAACUUGAUGUUAUGACGUCGCGUGGUACGUUCGGCUUGAUCGAGGAUACGAAUGGGGUACUCUCGAUAUGUAAGAUUAUCUUGGAGAUCAAGCGUUUCGUGGUCCACUUCACGGAUAGGAUCCGAGAAGCAACGUCUGAGUUGAGAAACGUGGAAGACAUCGUGAACUCUGGAGAGGUGCGGAGGUAGUUCCAAUUGGUAGGCAACUUCUCCUCGUUUGGCAAGAAUGCGAAAAGGUCCAAUGUAACGAGGAGCCAAUUUGCCUUUGAUACCGAAGCGAUGGGUUCCCUUCAGAGGGGUGACCCGAAGAUAAGCCUUCUCGUCAACCUCGAAAGUCAUAGCCUUAUGUUUUCGGUCAUAUUGACUCUUUUGACGAGAUUGGGCGGUUUUCAACUUUUCACGAACGAUACGAACUUGUUCUUCUGCUUCCUGAAUCAUAUCCGGGCCAAAGAAUUGUCUUUCCCCGGUCUCUGACCAGUUAAGGGGUGUUCGACAUCGUCGUCCAUAGAGGACUUCAAAAGGGGCUUUACCCAAGCUAGAUUGAUAGCUGUUGUUGUAAGCGAAUUCGGCAAAUGGAAGGCACUUCUCCCAGUCCAUUCCGAAUGAGAUAACAGAGGCUCGAAGCAUGUCUUCUAGAAUUUGGUUGACGCGUUCCACUUGACCACUUGACUGAGGGUGGAAAGCGGUGCUAAAGGAGAGACGAGUUCCCAUAGCAUUUUGGAAACUUUCCCAAAAUCGAGAGGUGAAAAGACUUCCUCGAUCCGAAUUGAUUUCCAAAGGAACACCAUGGAGGGACACUAUUCGGGAGAUGUAUAAGUCUGCCAGCUGACUAGCGGUUAUACUCUCACGAACAGGUAGGAAAUGAGCUACUUUGGAAAGACGAUCGACCACGACGAAGAUAGCAUUAUUCCCUCUCUUGGUCCUGGGAAAACCGGUAAUGAAAUCCAUACCAAUUUUAUCCCAUUUCCAUUCAGGAAUAGCUAAGGGUUGAAGGGUGCCAGCAGGCCGUUGAUGCUCUGCUUUUACACGACGACAGACGUCGCAAUUGGCAAUAUACUGAGCAAUUUCUCUCUUCAUCCUAGUCCACCAGAACCUCUGGCGUAGGUCCUGAUACAUUUUAGUACUACCGGGAUGAAUGGUGAGAGGAGAUUCAUGGGCUUCCUUAAGGAUUAUAUGCCUUAGGUUGCGCACUUUGGGAACUACUAAUCGAUCCCCGAAGUACACGACUCCUUGAUCAUUAACGGAGAAACAAUUCGCAAUUCCUUUCUGAAUAUUCCUCUUGAUGCGGGAGAUUCCCGGAUCUACCUUCUGUGCUUUGAUGAUUUGAUCCGUAAGGGUAGGUUUUGCCACCAAGGUGGAGAGAAAACCUUGAGGUACAAUGUGAAGGUUAAGCUUCCGAAAUUCCUCAUGGAGAAGCGGUUGACUUUGUUGUAACAUCAGGUUGUUACAAUAAGAUUUACGACUUAGCGCAUCAGCCAUGACGUUGGCUUUCCCUGGGGUAUAGGUUAUCCCUAAGUCGAAGUCUGUGAUCAAUUCAACCCAACGUCUUUGCCUGAGAUUCAAAUCCGGUUGGGUGAAAAUGUACUUCAGGCUUUGGUGAUCAGUGAAUAUUUCGCAACGAUUACCGAGGAGGUAAUGUCGCCAGGUCUUAAGGGCAUAGACUACGGCUGCAAGUUCUAGAUCAUGAGUAGGAUAAUUCUCCUCAUGUGGGUGCAAUUGCCGUGAAGCGUAAGCAAUUACGUGUCGAUCUUGCAUAAGGAUGCAACCUAGUCCUUGUCACGAGGCGUCGCAGUAGAUAACAAAGUCUUUGGAGAAGUCUGGUGGUACCAGCACGGGAGCAGAAGUCAGGCGUCUUUUCAGUUCCUGAAAGCUGUGCUCACAUUGUGAGGUCCAUUCGAACUUCUUAUCUUUCUUGAGGAGUUCGGUUAGGGGUUUAGCAACUUUGGAGAAGUUCUCGACAAAGCGACGGCAAUAGCUCGCUAAGCCUAGAAAACUCCGAACUUGCUUGACCGAUUCGGGUGGAGUCCAGUCAAGGACAGCUUGAACUCGCUCAGGGUUAACAGCAAUACCUUUACCAGAUAUUACAUGACCCAGAUAGGUCACUUCUGGCAACCAGAAUUCACAUUUAGAAAAUUUGGCAUAAAGGCGAUGCUCUCGAAGUUUCUGCAACACUAGCCUUAGAUGUUCGGCAUGUUCUUCCUCGUUCUUGGAGUAUAUGAGUAUAUCAUCGAGAUAAACUACGACGAAUUUAUCCAAAUACUCCAUGAAGAUUGAGUUCAUUAACCGAGAAAAAGUGGCUGGAGCGUUGGUUAAACCGAAGGACAUGACGGUGUACUCGUAUUGGCCGUAACGAGUAACAAAGGCCGUUUUAGGAAUGUCCCCGUUUCUGAUUUUGAUUUGAUGGUAGCCCAACCUCAAAUCCAUCUUGGAGAAGACUGAGGAUCCAGCGAGCUGAUCAUACAGAUCGUUGAUCCUGGGAAGUGGAUAUUUGUUCUUGAUUGUGACCAGAUUGACAGGUCGGUAAUCUACAACCAUUCGGUCCGUACCAUCCUUUUUCUUAACGAAUAGGACGGGGCAAGCCCACGGAGAUGAACUAGGGCGGAUGAAACCCUUUUUCAAGGAUUCAUCGAGUUGCUUCUUAAGCUCGGCUAGUUCUAGGGGUGCCAUCUUAUAAGGCCUUCUAGCAAUCGGAACGGUUCCUGGAAUGAGGUCUAUUACGAACUCAACAUCCCUGUCAGGUGGAACCCCUGGCAAUUCCUCUGGAAAGACAUCCGGAAAAUCACGAACUACCGGAACGUCCUCAAGGUCUGGCAAAGGGCUGGCGUUAAGAGAAUAUAAUUGUCGCUUGGCUAUUCGAGUCAAAACAUUGACUAUCUUCCCCGAAGGAUGGGUGAGUUGAACGGUCCUAGAGAAGCAAUCAAUUUUGGCUUGAUGAGCUGACAUCCAGUCCAUACCCAAAAUGAUAUUAAUAUCUGAAGAUUUAAGGGCUAUCAAAGAUGCAAGAAAAACAAGUCUGUCGACUUGGAUUUCAUUUCCAUGGCUUACUCUAGAAGUUUGCCAUUUGGAUCCCAGAGUUUGAAUUACCAUGGAGGAUGGAAAGUCACAGAAUGCAACGUUAUGCAAACGAGCAUAAUUUUCAGAUAUAAAAGAAUGAGAGGCUCCUGUAUCGAAAAGAACAGAUGCCGGGUGGCAAUUAACAAGAAGCGUACCGAGAACGACGUUGGGAUCUUCUUGAGCUUCUUCGGCAGAGAUACAGUUGACAUGGCCACGUGAAGCGGUGACCGGUUUGGCAAGGAACACCUUCCCUGUCGGCUUGCCACGGCCAACAGCUUUAGCAGAUUGAUUGGGGUUGGUCUGGGGACACUCACGCAUAUAAUGACCAGAUUCCCCACACUUGAAACAAGUCACGGAACUGGUACGUGGAGGAGCAUUAUUGGAUGGACCCCCAUAGGGCUUGGCUGGUGCAGACUGUUGGAUAGGGCGAGGCGCCUGAAAAGAUGGCCUCGGUGUGAACCUGGGUGGCAGGGCGGUAUUGGGUACCCACACGCGGCGCUUCUGAGGACUAGCACCGGAUGAGGAACCCAUAUCACGUCCAUGCUUGCGUGUUGCGUCAUAGUCAGUCUGACCAGUUUCAGCACUGAUGGCUUUGUUGACAAGUUUCGAAAAAGAUGUACACUCAUGCAGACGGAGGUCGCGACGAAGCUCAGGACUAAGGCCCUUACGGAACCUUGCUUGCUUCUUGGCGUCAGUAGAAACUUCCUCGGUUGCAUAUCGUGCAAGGUUACCAAACUCCCUGCUAUAGACAUCCACAGAAAGUCGGCCUUGGGUGAAAUUGCAAAAUUCUUCACGCUUACGGUCCAUGAGACCCUCCGGAAUGUGGUGUUCACGGAAAGCCUCACUGAAUUCAGCCCAAGUUGUGACAUGGCCCGCUGGGCGCAUGGCUCCAUAAUUCUCCCACCAUAGACUGGCGGGGCCUUCAAGGUGAUAUGCAGCAAAGGUGACUUUGUCAGCCUCCGCUACCAGCGCGGAACGCAGUUUAUGAGAGAUACUGCAAAGCCAGUCAUCAGCGUCGAGAGGCUCGACGGAGUGGUGGAACGUGGGUGGAUGCAAUUUGAUAAAAUCACUGAGUGACACCACGUUAGCCCUCUGAUGGUGUGCUGUGUUCUGUUCAAUACGCUCCAACAAACGGUUUGUCUCCCGCUUGUUUCUCUCAGCUUCCAUCAUCACCUCGGCUAGUGAAGGAGGAUGAGGCAGAUGUUCAUUUCUGGCUUCACUGCCUUCGGCCUGCUCUUGGGAAGCAGGGUUGGCGCGCGUGUUGACCAUCCUAGGUAAACAAGGCAAUGAUUUAGUCAGAAUGAUAAAAUUCCGACAUAGGAUACAUAAUGCAAGGAAUAACUCGGAAUGCAAGAUGAUCAUCCGUAUGACAUGGUAGAUACAGAAACUGCUUCUUUAUUCCAUCGUCAUACACACCAUACAAGGUUUAGUACAAGACCAAACAAAGUACUAUUACGGUGAAAAAAAGGAUUACAUCUCAUCGGAGGCAUCUCAAGCUACUAUACAUUAUUUUUCUACACCUCCGGAAGGAGUACAAACUAGUCAUAUCCCACGAGUCACGCAGGACGAUAGACGACACAGCUAGUGCGAACUGGUGAUACUACUACUAACUCAGACCGAUCCGUAAUAGUCCUCGUAGAAGUCACCUCCAUAGCCCGGAAGUUCAACAUGAUCAUCCGGAAACAGACGGUCUCGCGGAGCUUGUGGACCAUAGGGGCUAGGAUGAGGUCUUGGACCAGCAAACGGUGGCCUGCGGGGACCGCGAGGUGGGGUGAUGCCUCCUACAUCACGCCAAACCAUCACGUCUGGCAGAGCAGAUCUCACAGGAUAGAGAUCGCGCAUAUCUGAAUAUCCAGCUUGCACCGCCGGUGCGAACCGAGUCAAAGUGGCCCAGUGGUCAGCACGGGUAUUGAAGAGCUCUAACCUUAAGGCCCGAUUUUCACGGUCCUUAUCCUCGAGCAUCUCAGCAGUGGUGCGAGUCCGUGAAUCCUCCUGAGUGGAGUCAGCAUAUAUAGCCUGAAAAUAUCCUUGUGCUCCCGGAAGUGAUCCUGGCAUAUACCGGAAAUCAGAGUCCCGAAAUAACCUAGAUCUGACUCGCAUAAUGGUCAUCAUAGAGUAGGCGGCAUCCUGCACAGCCAUCUCGAUAGAAACCCCGAGUCCAUAGGAGCAGUGAAGAGGCUCAGUGGAUCCAGGAUAAGAUGGAAAUAUCCUGACAGUGCAGAGAUACUGGCUUUGAUUAAAGUCUCGGAAUUGUUCUUCGACCGUGUACUCAGGAUACCAGCGGUAUCCAGCCUCAGUCAUUACCCUGACCAACUUAGCAGUAUGGCCGGGUACAUCUAGGCACCGAGUCAGGCGAACCACUUGAUUGAGGUCGCGAGUGGCCAUCUGAAAGCACAAUUAUAAUGCAAAGGCAUUAGAAUUUCUAGCAAAAUUUCGGCAGCAUAACAGCUGUAAAUGCUCAAAAAGGAUAUUGAGACAUUUGACAAAGGAUUUCGUACACACUCAACAUCAUCAUAUCAAGUCUUGAAACCAUUCUUACAACAUAAUGUGGUGGUAGAACUGAACUAGGCUUGUAACCAUCAAACUUAUAAGGUACUACUGAUUAGUAACUCGUGAUCCUGAUAGAGAGAGCAGAUCCUAAUUCCUUAACCCCCGGUGGAAGAAUGGACUGACUCAGAUCAGAAAGUCAUAGGAUAUAAGGAGUAAAAAGAGCCUUACGUUCCAACCCACAAACAAUUCCCCUACAUAUAACUAAAGAAUUUCUAGACUCAACAUCAACCAGUUUGGCUUGGAGAACCUACAGGCAGUCCGGCUCUGAUGCCAACGCUGUCAGGACCCCGACUCGAUGUCACAUCGAUCUAGCCGGUAACACUUCAUAUCACUUUGCGGCCUCACGCACGGUAUUCCCACGGGUGUCGCCUUACCUUUGCCCGGGACCGUUUGCGCCUUUUGGCUCACGUAUAUGAUAGUGUCGCUAGCAUCCAUAUGAUAAAGAGCCCGGGCUGACAUGACUAGUCGUAAACCCAAAGUGGCACAGACUUACAGGGACAGGCAUCCAUGACCCAGCUUCGAACGUGUCGGUCAUCAGCAAGUGGGUCCGGGCUGUAGCACUGGGCUAGCAGGACUCCGGUAAACCGGGCUGUAGCGGGCUAACAGGACUCCGGUACUCAAAGCGUGACAUUUCCCCGAAGGGACAGACACAGGAACGAAGAAGGACACAUGCCGGCCAGCCUAAGUGUUCCAGAGCAGUAGCAAGCUACCAUGGCUCAGCGGUAACACUAGGAGACAUUUCCCGGUAAGAGAGGCUACUAAAGAUAAACAACUAGAUAGUCAGAUCCCACACAUACCAAGCAUUUCAAUCACACACACAUUAUGCUCGAUAUGUGCAAAUACAACGAAGCAUCACAACAUGACUCUACGACACAAGUACUUUAUUUAAGGCUCAGGGAGCCAUACAUAAUAUACACACAAAGUUACGGGUCUCACGACCCAACAUACAAGUUAUACAAUCAUACAAGCCAACAGCGGAAGUAACUUGUCUGAGUACAGACAACUAGUAAAAUAAAAGAGGCUUGGAAAGCCUGGCUAUACUAUGUGGUCCUCCACAAGCUCAAGGUCACCACCUGGGUCUUUAGCCUACUCGUUGAUGUCAACGUCUACAUAGAACCCAUCAGAAGGGGUUGCAGCGUCUUCUGUAAAAUGUAGAUUAUAGCAACAUGAGUACAAAGGUACUCAGCAAGACUUACAUCAGAUCCUACAUACAUGCAUAGUAUCAAGAAAGGUUGGUGGAGUUAUUGCAGCAAGCCAGCUUUGACUCUUGGCUAGACUAUCCUACGAUACUCCAUUUGAAAUAGUUUUGCGCACACGAGUCCACUAUUCACCACUUCAAUACACUACCGAGGAUCCACCUCCGUCUUCCUACGGAAGAGCCAUCCUCGGCACUCACACUUAUCCUGAGGCUUUUAAUAGUUUCCAUUUACUUGUCUAUGAACUGUAUAGGCAACCAAGUAGUCCUUUACCGCGGACGCGGCUAUUCGAAUAGAUCAUGUUAACCCUGCAGGGGUGUACUUCUUCAUACACGCUCUCACCACUUAUCGUCGUUUACACGACAUGUACUCGGCAACCUUCAAGCGGAAGCCCAACGUGGGUGUCGGCCACGACCUACCUAAUCACCUAAGCUUCCAGUCCAGGUUUAUCGCCUAUUCAGGUUCCAUCCGCAGGGAGUCCGGCCGAGGUUUCCCAUACGGCCCCGAACGAUGUGAACAGGGUUCCCGAGAUACCUAACGGGUAUUUGGUACACCCGGCCACGUACCUACCGCAUCACAGCCCACCCCUACGGUCAGCGCUGUCCACGGCCUCCAGUAGGCUACAAACACCAGAAACUACUUGCAACUCCUGGACGGAGAACUAGGGUGAAUAAGAAGUCGAGAGGGUCCAUUGGUUUCGGGACCAAUGCAUGGUAGUAGCUGAUUCUUAAAUCACACAUACAGAUCUCAGUGCUUAAGGUCGGCUUCAAUGAAACAACCCACCAUGUACUCCUACAUGGCCUCUCAUCGAUACCUUUACCAAAUCGUGUUCACCACACCACUCCCAUUACUGACAUAAUCAUUUCACUCUAGCCCAUCACCCAGAUGAACCAGACCUGACGCAACUCUAAGCAUAGCAGGCAUAGCAAGGUAGGAACAACACAUACAUAUGGCUCAAUCAACUCCUACACAUGCUAGUGGGUUUCAUCUAGUUACUGUGGCAAUGACAGGUCAUGCAGAGGAAAUGGGUUCAACUACCGUAGCACACAGCAGUUUGAAUCGCGUUGUCUUAAUGCAGUAAAAGAGAGCAGGAGCGAGAACAUGGGAUUGUAUCGAUAUGAUCAAAUGGUUGGUUGCUUGCCUGAUGGUUCGUUGCACGGAUACGGUUCUUCGUUAGGGUAAUCACGGUACUCCUCGGGAACAGAUCCUGUCGCAAAGGACAUCGAUACACAAACAUCACCAAACAAUAUGCAACAAUAUGAUGCAUGCAUGAAACAUGGCAAUAUGAGUGUGUUGGGCUAAUGCAACUAAAACCAGAAGGGUUUGAACAAAUUUGAAUCAAAGAUUCAAAUUUCAAUUUCAAAUAUGGCCUUUUAAAGGGCCUUUCCUUGUUCUGAUUAAAACAUCAACUUAACUUGUUUGAUCAUGCAUGAAAAUGGUACAGAUGGAUAGAUUGGAUUUUUCUGAUCAUUUUUCAUAUAUUAUUUGUCCAAUUUGGAGUUACAGAAUAAAAGUUAUGAAUUUUUGAAGUUUAAAUAAUAUUCUGGAAUUUCCUGAUUUAAUUUAAAUCCAGAAAUAUCAUUUACUGCGUCAGCCUGACAUCAUAGUGACAUCAGCAGGUCAACAGGGCUGGCUCGGGUCAAACCUGACGUGUGGGGUCCACACGUCAGUGUCACAGGGGCUAAUCCCGCGUUGACCCCGGGCUGGUUAGCUUUGACUAAGCCCUGGGGCCCACUUGUCAGCGUCAGUAGGUGGUGGAUUAGUGGUUAAUUAGCUGGGCCACGUCAGCUCGCCGGAGUUCUGGCCGGCGGCGACCAACAGUGCGGCGGCGAUAGUGGUUUUGGUCGUUUCGGCCACCAAAUGGAACGUGGCGACCACCGGAGUGAAGCUGAGGACGACCCGCGGCUCUUGGCGGAGUCCGUUGGGGUCGGGGUGGCCGGAGUCGACGGCGGCGAGCUCAGCUGUGGCCGCCGGGGUUCGGUCGUGCACGGGAGUGGUGCUGGAGCUCGAAGUUGAGCAAAGUGAGGCGCUAGGGAGGCUCUACUGGGUUCUGUGAACGCGUUGGACUCGCCGGGGUGACCAAGUGGUCACCGGAGCUGCGUCGACGGCGAGCUCGGCGACGGCGGAGGUUCGGCCGAGGUGGGGAUGCAGCUACGGUGAGGGAACGAGGGAAAGAAGAGGGGGGAACGGUGGCGUAGCUCACCGCGGUUGCAGUGGGCGUCGAAGCGGGCUCGGGGACGCGCUGGAGACGGCGAAUUCGUCGGCGACGGUGGUCGGAGUCCGAAGAGGGGAACGGCGACGUGGCGGCGAUGCAGGGCUUCCGGGGACUCGUGGAGCGGUGGGGAGGAAGAGGGAGUCGAGGCGGAGCUUCUGAGCUACUCGGGGGAGCGAGGGGUGGCCGGAGUCAGUGGCUACGGCGAACGGCGGCGACGGUGGUGUUCGGCCGAGAGCGAGAGAGAGCGAGGGAGAAGCGGGGGAGAGUGAGAGGGAGCAGGGGGGAUCGGGACGGGCUGCGGGCGUCGUCCACGCGGCCAGGGGGGCGUCGGCAAGCAGGAGGUGGCCGCGCGGCCGCGCGCGCGCGAGCACGCAGCAGCUUCGGGGCGUGGGGAGGAAGACGACGGGGAGCUACAGUGCUGGGCUGGCUAGCUGGGCCGGCCAGCUGGCUGGGCCGCACAGGUAAGUUUCUCCUCUCUUUUCUGUUUUCUGUUUUAAUUAAUAAUUCUGCAACUUUGUUGAAUUAAAUAAAAUACCUAGGCAACUCCAAAAAUCACCAAACUACUCCUGGUCCAUAGUUGGAAUAUUUCCAACAUGAAACAUUUUAGUUUGGAGAUAUUUGAGCAUUAAAAUAUUUUAUAUUAUUUUAAAUGCCCAAAUUCAAAUAGUUAUGAUUUAACUCAAGAACCCUAGGAUGGCCUAGAAAAGUGUGCACCAUUUUUGGCAGAGGUUCUGAACCAAGGCAAAAAUGAUGGGCAUUUUAGAAGGGCAUUUCAGGUUCAUUGAAAAUUAUUUUAGUAAACCCUAGUUGGUUAUCAGAGGGGACUGGGGGUUCUGUCAUCCCCAUUUCAAGUUUCUGAUGCAAAAGUAAACAUGAUGCAACACUCUAAUGCAUGACUAGCUAGGGUGUGACAGAAUAUCCUUCGUUGACCGUGAGAGCUUGUGAUGGGCUAAGUUGGGACACCCCUGCAGGGUAUAAACUUUUGAGAGCCAUGCCCGCGGUUAUGGGCAGAUGGGAAUUUGUUAAUAUCCCAUUGUAGAGAACUUGACACUUAACUUAAUUAAAAUGAAUCAACCGCGUGUGUAGCCGUGAUGGUCUCUUUUCGGCAGAGUCCGCGAAGAGAACACGGUCUCGUGUUAUGCUUGAACGUAUGUAGUUUCAGGAUCACUUCUAGCUUCUUGACUGUGUGUUGCUUCUCUUCUCGCUCUUAUUUGCGCAUGUUAGCCACCAUAUAUGGUAGUGCUUGCUGCAGCUCCACCUCACUACCCUUUCCUACCCAUAAGCUUAAAUAGUCUUGAUCACGCGGGUGUGAGAUUGCUGAGUCCUCGUGACUCACAUAUACUUCCGAACAGUUGCAGGUGCCGAUGAUACCAUUGCAGAUGACACAAUUGAGCUCAAGUGGGAGCUCGAUGAAGAUCUUGGUCGUUGUUUCAUUUCGAUUUCGGAUGUUCAGUAGUGGAGCCCAGUUGGGACGAUCGGGGAUCUAGCAUUUGGGGUUGUCUUCUUUUAUUUUGGUUCCGUAGUCGGACCUUGAUUGUAUUCUGGAUGAUGUAUGUAUAACUUGUAUUUGUGUGAAGUGGCGAUUGUUAGCCAACUCUUUAUCCCAUUCUUAUUUAGUACAUGGGAUUGUGUGAAGAUUACCCCUCUUGCGACAAACCUACCAUGCGGCUAUGCCUCUAAGUCAUGCCCCAACACGUGGGAGAUAUAGCCGCAUUGUGGGUGUUACAAGUUGGUAAUCAGAGCCAUCCCCGACUUAGGAGCCCCCUGCUUGAUCGAAUCGCUGAUGUUGUUGAGUCUAGAACAAAAUGUUUUGAAUCUUAGGAUUAUAUAUAUCGGAGAGUAGGAUUCUUUUGACAACUCAGUCCCUUCGUCGCUCUGUUGAGGCCUCCUGACGUAGAGUUUUGACUCUUCUCUCCUCAAAUUUCACGAUUUUUUAGGAUCACGCGGGUAUCUUGGAAUCGUUCCGAUAGUCUUGUGAUAAUAACAUUGUUCUUGGUGCCUCCUGACAUUUAUGGGUUGUGGCCGUGUCCCGGGGAGUUGAGCUUCGAGGUGUUGUCGUCACAAUUUUAUCGUUGCAGUUCUGGAAUACCUGAGUUCGCCGACAUCGGAAAUCUCUUUUAUGCAGUUGUUGGUGAGAUAACCUCGACGCCGCCCAGUACUGGGGCGAGAGUUCAAGAGUAUUACCAUAACUCGUAUAACGGAUGCUUUUCGAAGGUUGAGGUAAAUGAUUUCCGAAGGUUUCUUGGUUAUGUGUUGAAGGAUGGAUACAGCUGGAUGUAGGAUUUGUUACUUUUGGGUGAGAUAUUAUGCUUCCCCUGUAUCCCCAACACCUGAUUGCAUAACCAGAAAGUUUUGGGAGUUUAUAAGUGGGAAUCCAAGUAGCUCCUAGAAUAAUCUUUCAACAGACACAUGAUAAGAUAUGGGAUCUAUCAUAUGUUUGUUUCCGGCUUAUUUUGCAAGCCAAUCCUUGCUUUGUUUUUGUUGUGAUAUUCGAGUUGCUUCAGUGUCAAGUGUUGAUUCCAUACCUUUCCUAAGCGAUAUUCUCACAUUUCUAUGUGAAUAUUAAUUCUUCAUGAUAAUCGAGAUUGUCAUGUCAAUACUUUUCAACCGGUGUGUUUCUCUUCAAGUGGAUCCGAUCAUUUUCAACAUUUGCAAGAUCAAUGCUCAGUUAUUCACAACGGUGUUUGUUUCAUCCGUCCUAAGUUGUCUUUGUUUUCCCGCCCUCCCACCCUUUUUCUUCAAGGACUCGGAUUUCUUAUUAAAGUAUCCUUUUAUUGUUGCGAAGCCUCUCCAUUCUUUUAAGUCAAUGUUGAAAGGAUCGAUAUGGUUGACUAGAGGGGGGGGUGAAUAGGCAACUAGCAAUUUUUAGCUUUGCUUUAACAAUUUAAACUUUGCAUUAAAGUAGGUUUUUUAGAUAUGCAACUAAGUGAGCAACCUAUAUGAUGCAACAAAGAUAGGAACACAAGCAAGCAAGAGAUAUAUCACAGAUAAGCUUGCACAAGUAAAGGCACGAGAUAACCAAGAGUGGAGCCGGUGGAGACGAGGAUGUGUUACCGAAGUUCCUUCCCUUUGAGGGGAAGUACGUCUCCGUUGGAGCGGUGUGGAGGCACAAUGCUCCCCAAGAAGCCACUAGGGCCACCGUAUUCUCCUCACGCCCUCACACAAUGCGAGAUGCCGUGAUUCCACUAUUGGUGCCCUUGGAGGCAGCGACCGAACCUUUACAAACAAGGUUGGGGCAAUAUCCACAACUCAAUUGGAGGCUCCCAACGACACCAUGAAGCUUCACCACAAUGGACUAUGGCUCCGCGGUGACCUAAACCGUCUAGGGUGCUCAAACACCCAAGAGUAACAAGAUCCGCAAGGGAUUAGUGAGGGAAUCAAAUUUCUCUUGGUGGAAGUGUAGAUGGGGGCCUUCUCAACCACACCCGAGCAAAUCAACAAGUUUGAUUGGCUAGGGAGUGAGAUCGGGCGAAAAUGGAGCUUGGAGCAACAAUGGAGCUUAGGGUUGGAAGAGGUGGUCAACUAGAGGAAGAAGACACCCCUUCUAUAGCUUAGGACAAAAAUCCAACUGUUAUCCACCUACCAGCCUGCGACCAGCGGUACUACCGCGCCAGACCAGCAGUACUACCGUAGGGCCACGCGUUACUUCUGCUUGCUGACAAGCGGUACUACCGCAAGGCCCCGCGGUACUACCGUGCGGACCCGUGGUACUACCGCAGCAGCAGCAGCUAGGGCAGACCUGUAGCACAAGAGCUGAGGGUGGUACUGCCGCGGGCGCGGUACUACUGCUCCCCCUUGUGGUACUACCGCAAGGCAGGAAAUCCCUAGCCUGGGAAGAGCGCGGAUAAAGAAACAUCCGUUCCUACUUCUGCUGGUAAAUGGAAGAAGCAAAAAUCCGACACAGUACUACCAUAGAGGAGCGGUACUACCACCUGGCAGCUGAUCCAGGCCGCGCACGGUACUACCGCACAAGGGAUGCGGUACUACUGCAGCAGUGCGGAUGUAAAAAAUUACAUCCGCCCCUACUACCGCGAAGGAGCGGUACUUGGCCUGGGGGCCACGGUACUGCGGCUCCAGAGGAGCGAUACUACCGUGGGCACCUGCGGUACUACCGCGCCGAAGUGGGGUACUACCGCUCAACAAGGAGCCGUACUACCGCAAGCACACCAACAACAGUCAGGACAAGGGAAAAGAGGAUCAAUGGACGAUGCUCCAAAGUGCAGGGGAAAGGAGGGGACAAGGAAGAAAACGUGUACGUGAUGAUUCCACCCAAACCUUUCUGAUGCGGACCCCCUCUUGAUAGUACGGCUUUCCUACGACUCAAAUCCACCAAAAAGAAAUGUAGAAAAGAUGCCUUCUUCAACAGUCUUUGAGGGGCACCAAACCGUCUUAUGCCUAGCGAUGAAACGUCUGGGAAACUCAAGGCACACGAUUAGUCCACAAAAGCAUUGUCAUCAAUCACCAAAACACCUUAGGGAUAAAUAUGCCAUUACAAAUGUUCUUAUCCGGUGAUUCUUAGGAAGAUACUAACAGAGCUUCAAGUUCAUCAUUCUUCGUUCUCUUUUCUUCUCCGUUGGAUUCAAUUCAAGCUUUCGGUGUUGAUCAUAUUCCAUUCCUUGUUUCAAAUGUGUUCUCAUGCCGGUGCACCUCUUAAUCAUCCACUCUUGCUAUUCUAUUGUUCCGGAGUGCUGAAGAUGCCUCAGAAGAAUCGUUUCCAUUCUUAAUCCAUUCAAGUUAUUUCAUGGUUGUUAUCUCAUUCAAGCCAUUUAAUUCAACCGGUGCAAUCUCUCUUUUCAAGCAAUCGCUUCAACGGUGUAUCUUUUGAGUGGGCCCUAACCCACAGGUCUUUUCCCAGGAUCUUACCUGACUCUUCUAAUUUUCCAGAGUUAUUUUCAAAAUCAUUUCAAAGUUUGACGUAAGAAUGAAUUUUCAUCAGUCAAAUGCCUUUCUCCAAGAUCUUUCAAAGUCUUUUCAUCGUUGGUUCAACCUUUCUAAUUUUCAUCCCGGAGUAUCUCAACAAUUCAUGGUGGUAUUUCUCAUCGUCAUUCUCACGUUUCUGAAGUUCGAAGAAGAGUUCCUCUUAAACUCUUACCCUUUCUUCCAAAGAUGGGAAGUUCAAGCUUGAUGCCAUCCUUUCAUAAUUGUUUUCGAUUGCGAGAAUCCUUUUCACCCUUCUGGAGCAUUUCAGGAGUUGUUUUCGUUUUUCUUGAUCAUCCAAAGGCCAUCAUUUCAGAAGAUUUAUUCAUUCUCAGCUUUCAGCUCUCAUUCUCCAAAUCUUACUGGUGCAUCUUUCAAGUGUUCUCUAAUCAGUUCAUGAUAUCUUUGUUCUCUUGUAUCUAAAUUCCAUCAAGUAUUUUCAUUCGUUUCUAAUUCUUCCCGAUGAAUUCCUCCUUUGCUUCGCUCUUUUCCAAUUCUUACGGUGGUUUGUUCAAAGAUUCUUCUUCCUUCGUUAUCAUAUCAAUUCAUUCAUUGUUUCAAUCCUUCCGGUGGUUCGUUGAAGACCUUCUCAAGUUUGCGCUAUAUCUAUCUUAAUCCUUUCUACGAGAAUAAGUAGUAUGCCAAAUCCGUUGCUUGAUAUCAAUUUAAGUUGAUGAAGGAUACGCAUAACAUAAUUCUUAUUCUUAUUAUUGUUUCUUCCAAGUGGUCUAGUUUCUUCUUUACAGAGUUGUUCAUCAUGUCACAUUUCUCGGUUCGAGAUACUUCAUCUUUUUUUAUUCCGGAGUUCCAAGCUCUCUCAAUUAUAUCAUCGCGAAACUCCAUCUAAAUCAUCGCAAGGCUCCACCUUCUGUUUUCAACUUCUUUUUCCUUCAAUCAUCCUUUUAUUACCGGAGUUCUUCAUGGAGGCUCUACAUGGUGGUUCGUCAGGGUUCAUUUCAUUCUUCAAUUGUUCUUCAAGAUUUUUCUCAAAGUUGUAAUCCGCCAAGCUAUACUCUAUAAUAAACAUGGUGUUCAACACAUGUUUAGUUUUGAGGAGUUCAAGUAUUCUUCGUCUUGCAUUUCAAAGUGGAAUUCGUUCUCUCUUGUCUUUUGAGGUGGUGUUAUGUCACUCUUGACAAUUUCCCUUUGUGUUUCAUGAUUCACAAGUUGUCCGGAAUGACAUAUUUUAAACCCAUCCUUUUCAUUUCGUUCAUGAGAUCCUUUGCAAGCCAUCAAUCUCUUCAUUUGACUUAUCUUGGGUUAUAUUUCACCUAAAGCUUUCCCUAAGGAUUGUGCUAUUUAUGGUGCUUAUAAAUGACCCAAGUUCUUCAUUUAUCCUUCCGGUGAAAUAAGCUUCUCGUCUCCUUGUUGAUAUCAAUCCAAUCUAUUGUUUUCAUUAGUCGCAGAAUUUCAUCUCAGUUUUGAGAUGUUGUCCAUAAGCCCACGACAAGCUUAUCCUUUCGUUGUUGAUAAUUUUGAGUUGUGAAGACCAUGUUCUUUCCUUUGAUUAUCCAUUCAACCGGAGUGUUAUGUCAUCCCUUCAAAUUUUUUUCAUCUUAUCAAGUUGUCUUCUCUUUUUCUACCAGAGUGAUGUCCAAAUUAUAUCAUUCUUAUGCCUUCUCUAUCUUGUUUUAACCGGAGUGUUGUGUCAUCUGCUCAAGUUCUUUUCGUCUUAUCAAGUCUUGCAUCUUGUUUCAAUCAGAGUGCUUGCAUCUACUCCCCGUCCAUAGCAACCAUUUUCUUAUGUCUUUCAACCUACAAGGUUCUAGUAAUGUUCCUUGUUCCUUUUUUCUAACGGAGUGUUUUCAACUUUGUUCAUCUUCGCUGUUUUCUUCUUUAAAUUUGUUCAACCUCGCAAGGUUCUUUGGUUUCACUCGUUUGUCAAAGAAGCAACUUUGGUUUACCUCUUCAUCUUCUAUUUUCCCUCCGGUGCCAUCCUAGAUCUCGGGAAGAGAUCCUCUUGUGGUGGUGGAGUGUUGUAACGCCCCGAGACCGAUGCACCAGGUGUCUUCCAGUUAUUCAUGUGGAGUGCCUUGUCAUAUCUUUGCUUCUUGCACCAUGCUCAUCUCAUUUGGGUAUAUUGCUUUGUCAUGCCCAUCAUCGUCUUAUUGCAUUGCCUCUUGUCAUUUUGCAUGCUAAUCAUAUACCUUGUGGUAAUCUUCAUAUUGUUGCCAUGUGCAUUUCAUUCAUCCUUAUGUGGUGUGUUGUUGUUAUGAUGUGUGUGAGCAUCAUUCCUUGUCAUCUCUCUCUCAAGCCAUACCCAUGCAUCAUCACCUCUCACUUCCUUCUUCUUUCAUGUUUUUGCAAGUGACUUUAUUCCUCCUCCAUUAAUGUUCGUCCUUUCCCUAUAAAUCAUGCCUCUUUCCUACACCCUCUCUGUCAGAUUUCAUCCCAUUCAAAGUUGUUUUGGUCAGGUUCAAAAAUGAUUGAAGUUUGAGAAUAAUCCAAACUCUAAUUAUUUUUCUGAUUUCUAAAAAUGCCAGAGCAAUUUAUUCAAACCCUACAUAAAUCCAGGGUUCCAGAUAUAUAUUUAUAUAUCUCAUUUUCCUAACCAAAACCCAUGGACUUUCCCCUUUGUUGAUUGUUUAUUUAUAUAAACAAAAAAAUAAAAUAAAGGAAAAGGCCCCUUACUUGUUCAGCUACUCACUGGGCCUCCCAACUCCUACGCAGGCCACAAACCUGCAGCUGGGCCGGCCUUUAGGCCCAACUGCCCCACCUACACCUAACACUAGCCUCGACCGACCUAUCCCUCUCGCUCCCCUGCUCGUUCCCACCGCCGCCAGAAGCCAUCUCCCUCGACUCCUCUAGCGCCGCCAGAGACAUGCACGCAGGCGCAGUCCUCUGCUUCGACCCAACCUCAUCCUUUCCCUCGUUCCCUUGUGCCGCCUCCCCCUCAUAUCGAUCUCUCCCUGUCCUCUCGCUCAAGCUAACCACCCCGCGGCCCCGCGAUCUCGCCUGCCCGCACGGCCAUGGCUUAGCCGCCCUCGACCCGGCUCGCCCUCGACGUCCCCUUCGCUGGAGCCCUUCCUCCGCCUCUGCUUUGGCCACCCACAACAGCCAUGCCGCGCCCUCAAGCGCCUCACCUCCCACAGCCGGUCCAGGACCUCCUCGUCGCCUCCUCGUCUACCCGGCGCCACUGACUCGUCAGCUCUGUCGCCAGGGGAGGAGACCCUCGCCAUGUCCCCUUCGGCCCCGACUCCGGCGAGCGCCGCCCUGUCGACUCUCCUCUGCGCGACACCUCCCCUCUGCUGCCUCGUUCCUUUUCCUGCGAUUGCCGUUUUCUUUCCCGCCUUGCCUCACGCGACCCACAUGGGCGCCGCCAUGGAGGCCACCGUGCCGACCUGCAGCUUCGUGCGUGCUGCCUUGCCUUCCUGCUACUUCGUCCGACUUCGGACGACCUCCAUCGAGCUCGCCCGGCCACCUUCGACCUCGGCGUGACCCUGCCUCCACUAGCAGCCUCCUGGAGCCGGCCAUUUCCAUGGGUUCGGGGAGCCCCAAGUCUUGUCCAUGGCCUCGUUGGCUGUUGAUGUUACGCUGUUGGCUUUCUCCAUCGUCUCCCUGGGCUCGUCAAAUCCUGUACCAGGAGCCCAAGCCGGAAGACUCCGUGGAUGUGCAUCUCACUUGUGCCAUUUUGGGUCGUCAAGAACGUUUCGAGAUUCGCCAAGUACCAUUAUGCCCGGAGACCACGGAUCCGUGAAGUUCCACUACCGUCGCCAUGGAUCCGACAAGUUUGUGAGUACGACCACUUACCAUGACGACCUUGUACCACUACCGUCGAUGAAGACAUGUGCACCGCAAGCGUCAAGUUCAACUAUUGUUGACGGUGAAGGGUUUGGAGUCAUCAGGCACCUCUUUGAACGAACAGGAACGACUAUCGUAGCCGAGAUCGCGAGAACCUCUACCGACGACCUCGGAACGUGUACGACGACCGUCGUCGAAGACCCGUACCUCUACCGCUUCCUAAACAUGUACCACGACUUCCAUGACUUUCGUGAACCGCUACUGCCACUACGGUCGUGAACGACUACUUCUGUCGACGAACUCGAUACGCUUCGAAAACGCACGCUUCGAAGGUAUAGCCCCGAGACAACCGUCCGAGAAUGAUUGCUUGUGUUGUAUGAGAUGCACCGGUUGUCUGCACUGUGUCGGUAGUGUCUCUCGCUUCCAUGCUGUCGACACUUGGGACACCCAGUAACCGGGAGGACCCCACCUUCUAUCGCAUGUUACGCUCCCGUCACUUUUCCUUUUGCACCGGUAUCUCCGUGAGCUAUCGGAACCGGAAUGUUGCCGUGGCACCAUUUCCGUCAUUGUCAUGGCACCCCAUUAUUUCCACCACGGUGACAAAUGUUUCAUAAUUCUCUUAUCAACAUUUUCAUAAAAUUGAUUAAACUUGCAUAUGCCAUUCGCAUCAUGAUAAUAACAUUUAAAAUGUUUAAAAUUGUUGUUUGCAUUAAAUUGCUAAUGCAUAUAGGGAUUUACUGGAAUUGUUGUUUGUUGUUUCCGGCCUCAUUUAAACUUGCCUAAAUGUUUAGUUUACUUAGGCUCCACCUCUUACCAUGUUUAAACAACAUUUAAUUUUGUUGAGUAGUUUAAACGGGAGAGAACUAAAUAAUUAAAUGUGGUGUUGUCGGUGUCAAAACCGGCGGAUCUCGGGUAGGGGGUCUCGAAUUGUGCGUCUAAGGCGGAUGGUAACAGGAGGCAGGGGACACGAUGUUUUACCCAGUUCGGGCCCUCUUGAUGGAGGUAAAACCCUACGUCCUGCUUGAUUUAUUCUUGAUAAUAUGUGUAGUACAAGAGUUGAUCUACCACGAGAUCAGAGAGGCUAAACCCUAGAAGCUAGCCUAUGGUAUGAUUAUAUGUUGUCCUACGGACUAAAACCCUCUGGUUUAUAUAGACACCGGAGGGGGCUAGGGUUACACAAGGUCGGUUAUAAAGGAGGAGAUAUCCAUAUCCGUAUUGCCUAGCUUGCCUUCCAUGCCAAGUAGAGUCCCAUCCGGACACGAGACGAAGUCUUCAAUCUUGUAUCUUCAUAGUCCAACAGUCCGGACAAAGGAUAUAGUCCGGCUGCCCGGAGACCCCCUAAUCCAGGACUCCCUCAGUAGCCCCUGAACCAGGCUUCAAUGACGAUGAGUCCGGCGCGCAGUUAUUGUCUUCGGCAUUGCAAGGCGGGUUCCUCCUCCGAAUACACCACAGAAGAAUUUGAAUACAAGGAUAGUGUCCAACCCUGCAAAAUAAGUUCCACAUACCACCGUAGAGAGAAUAAUAUUACCACAAAUCUAAUCUGCUGACGCGUUUUGGCAACAUGACAUCAUUCCAUGGCCCGGUGAUUAUUCGAACCUUUUUUCUUUAACCAGCCCCGCACAUAAUGCGAGGCGGUUUCUUGACACGUCUUGUCAAAGCAGAGAUCGUGUCCCCCUCAUUAUGGGAUUCUCAUCAAUACGGGCGUGGGUAACCCAAUCGCGCCACCAAUUAUGGCGCUUGGGGGAUAAGCGAGUUUUACCAGGCUAGUGGGGACGCAUAGUUUCGUCCGCCCUUAUAAAGGGAUAAGGUUUAACCUUCUUCUACCCACACCUUCUUCCUCCUUGCUCAUCCAUUCGCGUGCACUCGAGCUCCAACGCCCAAGUCCACAUCCUUCUCCUCAACCUUCUUCAAACAUGUCCGGAGCGGGAGGCAAGUGGAUGGCUUCCUCCGUUACGGAGGGACACAUCAAAAAGCUGCGCGGGGCCGGAUACUUAGCCGCGGAUAUCGCGCAUCGGCUGCCCGCUGCGGGGCAGAUCGUCCCUACCCCGGAACCUCACGAGAGGGUAGUUUUCCUCCACCACUUCCUCCGCGGACUGGGGUUUCCCCUCCAUCCAUUCGUCCACGGUCUUAUGUUCUACUACGGGCUGGACUUCCAUGAUCUGGCCCCGAAUUUCAUCCGCAACAUUUCAGCAUUCAUCGUCGUGUGUGAGGCUAUCCUCCGCAUCCGUCCCCACUUCGGCCUGUGGCUGAAAACCUUCAAUAUCAGCCGAAGGUGGUGGGCGGCCAGCAAGCGGAAUGCGGCGGAGCCAUGGUGGGCAAGAUGACUAACGUUAUAUGGCUCGAGGGCUCCUUCGUGGAGACCAUAAAGGGGUGGCAAUCGGCGUGGUUCUACAUCACCGAGCCGCGCGACACCAACUGGGUGGCGGUCCCUGAGUUUCGAUCCGGAAUCCCCAUGCGGCUCACUUCCUGGAAGGAGAAGGGCAUGUCCUGGGGUUCAUCGGUGGAGCUGGACGGACUCUAGAAAUGUAUCCGGAACAUGGCAAGCAAGAAACUUAAGCUUGUCAACAUAGUCCAAGUCAUGCUCUUCCGCCGGAUCCUCCCGUGUCAACAAUGGGAUUUCAACUUAUGGGAGUUUGACACGGCCCGGCACCAGACUCUAAGCGAGCUCUUCGACACGAUGCACAAAGACGUCUGGAGGGUGAUGUUCAAGGGCACCGAGGUCCCUCCCUCUCUCAUCGAGGAACGCGGUCUAAGCGCGAAGCGCCCUACGAAUCCGGUAAGUUCUGUACAUCUGGUAGGAUAUUUACUUCCCAUUGCUUAACCACGUGCAGGGUCUAAGCUCCCAUGCCUUUGACAGGACUGGGUGGAGGCAUCGGAGCAGAUCGACUGUCCGGCCCCUCCGCCCAAAGAUACUGCGAAUGCUCUCCUGACGGAGAUGCUGACUCCGGCUCCAUAUAAGGUGCCGAAGAAGACUAAGAAGAAGGCCAAGGGAACCCGAAAGAGUCCCCGGCGCCAGGUGGUAUCGGACUCAUCGUCCGAUGACUCCGCGACGCACUCCUCCCAUGAAGACGAGGAGGAAGAUGAAGAUGCUCCCCCUUCAGCUGGGGGAGACAAGAAAAGGAAGGCCGCCCCAACCGGGGUGGGGGGGGUGGGCGAAGGGUCCAAGAAGGGAAGGACUCUCCUUCCGGACUGCUCCACCACCGCCGCCGAUGGCGAAGACGAGUGGCUGCUCAGGGUCAAUCCCCUGGCGAAGUCGUAAGUAUUCGGAUACUAGAGUAACUCAUAGCAUACCUCUGUUGCACUGCUUCUCCUAAUGUCGAAUAUUAUUAUGCAGACCGCCCCAAGCCCGUAUCGACGUAUCCUCGUCGGACUGCUCCUUGGACUCGUCGGAUAUGGAUAGUGAUCCACUCCCGACCGCCACCUCCCCUUGCCCUACGGACAAUGCCGAGGUAUUGUCUCAAGAGGCACCAGGUCGAGGGGAGACAGUCCCGGAGGCACCCCAAGGCGACCUUCCGGACUCCGGGAGCAAAGGGAGUAAGGCUCCCGAGGGCUCCGAGUUCGGCCUUCAGCCGAACACUGCGCCAGAACCUCCAGUGGUUCCGGACUCGGGCAGGUGGCCUCCUUCCAACAGGGGCAAGACGCCCGUGCCGGUGACCUCUGUCCAUCCAGAGGCACCGGACAACCUUCUGGGAGCGCUUUGCGGUGCUUCCAUCGAUGAAGAGCCCCGCACUAUUAUGAGUGCGGUGAUCAAGAAGGUUCAGUCUGCUAAGAGCGGACUGACUGAAGCCUAUGCCAGCCUUCUAACAGGCUUUGAGGUAAGUAUUUAAAAUAUAGGAAAAAUAUUACCGCAUAGACAGUAGCCCCAGAUGCUCUGUUUGGUGUUCACAAAGAAAAGCCGAAUAGAGGAUCAAAUAACAUCUGCAGGAGUCUAAUAUAAGUAUGUCUAUAUGCGUAUGCAGGCUUCGCUGCUGACCUCUGCCGCACUGACUGCGGAGGUCGCCGCACUGAAGCAGGACCUCGAGGGGUCCGAGAAAGAGCUCGGCCUUGCUAAGAGGCAGCUCGAGGAGAACAAAGGUAAGUAAUACCUAGUCUAUAUAUAUAUAUAUAUAUAUAUAUAGAGAGAGAGAGAGAGAGUGACACUAUUCUAAUCCCAGCAUCAAAAUAACUAUUUGGAUCACGGCUGGCCCUAUAUAGGCCCGACGGGGUGUUUCCGAACUCCCGAAAAAUAAAAGAACCGGCCCACACAGUUGUCCUCCACCUCCCGUUCCCCACAUCUCCCACGGACGCAGAUCCACCCCGCGCGCCCCCACACCCGGACCGCUGGCGAACCACCGCCCCCGGCACAUCGCGCCUCCCGGCCGCCUCCUCCCGCAACCGCCGCAGCGGUUGCCUCCAUUCUCAACCGCCGCUCGGGCACCUUGUUCGGGAUCCCGCCGCCACCCUGUGCACCGAUGAGCUACAGGACCCCGCUGCCACACCGCGCGUCGUCGGCCUCCCGAAACUCGCCGCCACCUCGUGCGUCGCCGGCCUCCUGAAACCCGCCGCCACCCAGUGCGUCGCCCUAUGUCGCCACCACAUCCCCGUGAUGCGCCAUGCAUAGCUUCGUGCACUGCUUCCCUUUCCUCCCCCACAACUUGGCUGCAGCUUCCCCACCCUCGGCGUGCGGAGUCGUCCUCUCGCCUCUAUCAACCAAAUUCCACUAUCACCAUGGUGUGAUACCCUGUGUUGCCAUUAUCGCGUGGUCGCUUCAUCAAACUGACGUCCACCAUGCCGACCUGUUUUGACACGUCGACUGACGUGGGGGCUUCAUUGUCACGAUGCCGAACUACUCUGUUUCCUCAGCUGGACCGGGGGCUUCCCCUCGGCACUUUGGCACCGUCAUGCUAUCACUUUGUCAAGCCGAGCUCUUCGCUCGGGUACGUCAAGACUAGUUUGGGGGUUGGGACCUUGAGCCGCUACAAGCUCGGCCCACGUCACACCAAGCACAUUAACCAGCUAAGUCGCUUUCAUGCUCAAAAAAAUUUAAGUUUUAAAUAUUUUUUUCGGUUCGACCAAGCAUUAUACUUUUUGGACAAAAAGUCGUUUGCGAAAAACUUUCUUUGUCAAAACCUUGUUUGUUACAAACAAAUUCAAUUAAAAUACCCCGUUUAUUUGGGGGAUUCUUUUAUGAAGCCUCUCCUCUUGCAUAUGAUUAUACUUGUAUGGCUUCGUUCCUUAUUCGUGUAUUACGCCACAAUAUGCACCAUGUUGACUUAUGUGUUCCGCAAGCUGGGUUGCCUUGCUCCUGUGUUUACCCCUACGUUCCCAAUUGUUCGGCUGGGGAGUAAAGGGAGCACCUCUGCGAUUGUCACGAUCGGGUCAUCCGAGCUCGGACCUCAGACUGGGUGAAGCCGAAAGCUAGUGCUCUUAUUGUUUUCAACCAUGGUCGGCACACAACGGAACUCAUGAAUACAAAAAAUCUAUUGCACAAGUCUCAUAGUAACAAUGAGCAACCGAAGAAAGGUACCGAUGGAGGUACUAUUUUCUUCGAAGAUGCUUCUUACACUUCAUCAGUAAUAUAGCAUAAGUUCCCUGAGCGCGCUUUGUCUGUUAUAGCCUUAUGGCCUGAUUGCCUGGUUAUCGGAAACACCGUCGAUAUUCUCGACAGGUGGAGUACAUAACACUUUUCGGCCCUUGUCCAAAGAGGGAGAAGCCGACGGUCGGUUAAGACGCAUUUAAAGUUUGGAUGAACACAUAUAUGAUAUAAGUACUUCGGUACAUACAAUCAUUAUACAUAAAAUUCUUUUACCCAAAUCACUUGGGGGCUCUUAAAUUAGUAUGAGUAGUUUUGUAAUAGAUGUUUUCUUUUUAGUCGUUGCAAAAUCUUUUUCUACCACUCCUUUAUCGACUCAAGUGUAUGAUCAAUAGCCGGGUAGCCUGGUUUCUCUCUAAAGCCGCUCGUGUUUAGUUCGCUAAACUGGCCUGAGAAACACUCCGCCUUCGGGAUAGGGAGGUUGAAGCCGAGGGCUGACCCACUUGAAGUCUAGAGAUCAAAUGUGUCAUGUCAAAGCAUGACGGAAGUACAAUUUUAAGACCAAUUUCUUAUUGGCACCAAAACAGCUUGAUUCAAUCUAGACGCAAAGUUUUUUACGCAUGUUUUUAGCCUUUGGGCUUAUAACAUCUUUUCACCUAUUUUAUGUUUUCCUUUCAGGAAGCAGGACAUUCUCUUGGUUGAGGUUUUCGGCAUGAAACUCUUUUCUAAAACUACAGUUCGACAUCUUUUCUGCCGAACCCCACCUCGGUAUUGUCAAAACAUACAUGACAGUUGAACUAGUUCCCGAGGAGCUACGAUCCUAGGGUCGGCCAUGUUGCCCAACCCAAUUCUCGGGGGGGGGGGGCUACUGCAUUGGCAAUCCAAUGCAGAAAAUUUAAGUGCAAUAUAGUUUUCGAGGAGAUUAUGAUCCUCAGGUUGGUCGGCCGCACCCAACCCGAGUCUCGAGGACUUUGCACACUACUUUUUGUGUCCCGAAGUAUUCUGCCGAGCUAAGAGUUGAUCCUCAGGCCGAUUUUGCGAAUCAACCUGAGUCUCAGGGGCUACUGGGAUCAGCGGUCUUAUGUCAUCCUUCAGGUGCAUCUCGGGUUUUAGACCGAUACACACCUUGAGGGCUACUGGCUAUAUAUCUCGGGAGAGUAUAAAUUGCACCAAUCAAAAAUAUUAACAAAAAAUCGGCCCGCAGUCGGGGUGGUGCACCACCUCGGAAGCAGUCCGGCAUAAAGCUCGGGCGCCAGUGGCUGGCUCCAUAAAGGGCAUUUCCGGCAUUAAGCUCGGCUAAACUCCUUCAACUUUUUUUGAACCAAGGUGAUCUAUGGCACAUCGGACACAGUCCAGCGUUGGAGCUUGGACACAGUCCGACAUUGGAGCUUGGACACAGUCCGACGUUGGAGCUCAGAUAAAGCCCGGCGUUGGAGCUUGGACAUAGUCCAGCGUUGGAGCUUGGGUGCAUUCCGACGUUGGUGCUCGGGUGCAAAAGAUACCUCGAAUGUAGUUCGGCGUUGGAGCUCAGAGGCUGCCGCCCGGGAACAACUUCAAACCCAAGGUGUGGCAUAAAAAUAAAAAGGCAUUGAUAAAGGCCGCAAACUUAAAGGGGCUCCUUGGAUACCCGACGUGUAAACUCUUCGGAUGCACUUCGGCGAUGCUCAAGAUCGAAGAUGAUAAGAUUUGUUGAACUAGUUUUCAAGACCAAUGACCGAAGAUGAAGAACAGUUUGGAAGAAUCGAGGUGCGUCCCCAACUUGAAGACCAGUUCAGGGGGCUACUGACGGUGUCCUGGACUAGGGGGGGUACUCACCACGUCGUCUCCCGACCAGUGGGUCGGGCCGAGGACCCCCAUGGCGGUUCACUAUUGGGCCAGUUCGGACAGCCCAUGUCGUAUACAAGGGAGAUCCCACAAAGACUUGGCGCUCAAGACGAGGACUCUCCUAAACCCUAGGCAUCUGGUGUGUUAUAUAAACCGAGGCUAGGCUAGUCAAUAGACAUCUCAUAUUCAUUACUACAAUCUCGUGGUAGAUACUUGUAUUAUGUACUAUCCCCAUAUGAAUACAAUCAAAAGAAGGAUGUAGGGUUUUACCUCCAUCAAGAGGGCCCGAACCUGGGUAAAACCCCAUGUCCGUGUUACCAUUGCUCCAAGACGCCUAGCUUAGGACCCCUACUACGAGAUAUGCCGGAUAUAGAAUCGACAUAGCCCAUGCUCACUUUUUGCUCAUCAUGACUGGAAAAUACAAAUACACAUGUCCAGAACAGUAUGACCGAAUCAUCUCCGUUGAGCUCCCUAACAAGCACAAGUACCCAGAGUUAUACAAAAUGGUAAUCAAACAUAUGAUGCAUGAUCCUUGCGGUGCAUUGAAUAAAUUUUUUCCAUGCACAAAGAAUCGUCCGUCAUGCAAGAACAAUUAUCCAAGGCCAUUUAAUGAAACUACAAUCCAAGGAAAGGACUCCUGCCCACUGUAUAGGAGACGCAAUGAUGGUCGAACUGAAACGGUACGAAAAUGCCAACUGGAUAAUAGGUGGGUGGUUCCUUACAACCCAUAUCUUUUGCGGAUGUUCAACUACCACAUAAAUGUUGAGAUAUGCUCGAGCAUUAAAGCCGUUAAGUACUUGUUCAAAUACAUCUAUAAGGGACAUGACCGAGCAUCUGUAUCUGUAACUGACAAAGUGGACGAAGUUGAAAUUGACGAGAUUAAACAGUAUAGAGAUGCGCGGUGGGUGACACCUCCGGAAGCACUAUGGAGAAUAUAUGGCUACGAAUUAAGCAAAAUACACCCACCAGUCUUGCAACUGCAGCUACAUCUUCCAAAUUUGCACAUGGUUUCAUACCAUGGCAUGGAAAAAAUAAAGAAUAUUAUCGACCGUGAUGGCACAUAAAGAUCAAUGUUGACCGCGUACUUUGAAGCAAACAACUUACAUGAGAAAGCACAAGGCAUACUAUACAGAGACUUUCUGGAAUAUUAUACUUGGAAAAUACAAGGGAAGUUUUGGCAGGAGAGGAAACGAGGCACUGUCUUCCAGGUUGGCAGGAUGGUCUCGGCACACCCGGCUGAAGGAGAACAAUAUUAUCUUCGAGUACUCCUAAACCACAUUCCAGGCGCCACCAGCUAUGAAGACCUACGAAUAGUCAACAGACAAGUAAUGCCAACCUUCCGUGAAGCUGCAGAAAAACGGGGGCUCAUCGAGGCAGACAACACACUAGAUGACUGCAUGACAGAAGCAGAGUUGUUUCGAAUGCCAUCAUCACUACAAAGGAUAUUCGCGACAAUCUUGGUUUUCUGCGAACCCAGUGACGUACGUGGCCUAUGGAACAAACACCUUGAUGCAAUGUCAGAAGACUACAGCAGAAACUGCAAAUGCAAGCACACAAUCGAACAGAUGGUGCUGAGAAAUAUCAGGGAUAUGUUGCACUCAAUGGGAAAAGACAUAGAAUCAUUUCCUCUUCCAGAGAUCGACAAACGACAUGAGACGACCAACGACAUACCUAGGGAGAUCGUUGAGGAGACCUCCAUCGAGGUUGACCCUGAGGACGUAUCGUUGCAUAAAAACCUAAACAUCGAGCAGAGGAAGGCCUACGAUGAAAUCCUAGCCACAGUUGACCGCCAAAGAGGAGGUAUAUUCUUUGUCGAUGGGACGGGAGGCACAGGAAAAACUUUUCUUUAUAGGGUGCUCUUGGCCACAAUACGCGGACAAGGCAAGAUUGUCGUGGCAACGACCACUUCCGGUGUUGCUGCUUCCAUAAUGCCUGGAGGGAGGACCGCACACUCGAGGUUCAAGAUUCCACUAAAAAUAGAUGAUGGAGCUAUUUGUAGCUUCACAAAACAGAGUGGGACAGCAAAGCUACUCCAAGCAGCAUCACUAAUAAUCUGGGAUGAAGCAUCUAUGACAAAGAGACAGGCAGUGGAGGCGCUAGACAAAAGCAUGCGGGACAUAAUGGAUAGACUAGAUCUUCCAUUUGGUGGAAAAACGAUCGUAUUUGGGGGAGAUUUUAGACAAGUGCUACCUAUUGUCUGAAAGGGAACAAGAGCCCAUAUAGUAGAUGCAUCACUACGCAGGUCGGAGCUCUGGAAUUACAUGCGUCAAUUGAAGCUUGUGCACAACAUGAGGGCUCAAACGACCCAUGGUUCGUAGAAUACCCACUACGCAUUGGAAACGGAACCGAGAAGACAAAUGAUGAUGGUGAAAUACUUCUACCUACAAGUAUAUGUGUGCCAAAUAAGACGGAUGAUACCGGCCUGGAUAGACUUAUUGAUAGUAUCUACCAAACGGGAAAUGCUUACCUAAAAGAUCGAAAGUACAUCACGUCAAGAGCAAUUUUAUCCGCAAGGAAUGACUGCGUAGACAAGAUCAACCUAAAUAUGAUUGAUCGCUUCCAGGGGAGGAGAUGGUGUACCACAGCUUCGAUUCUGUAGAAGACGACCCACAUAACUACUAUCCACCAUAAUUCCUAAACACCCUAACCCCAAAUGGACUGCCUCCACAUAUGCUGAAGCUAAAAAAAUUUGUCCAAUCAUACUACUCAGGAACAUCGACCCUGCUAAUGGGCUCUGCAACGGCACCAGACUGGUCGUACAUGGAUUUCAGAAAAAUGCAAUUGAUGCAGAGAUUGUGGUAGGCAGCACUCUGGAAUGCGAGUUUUCUUGCCUCGGAUACCAUUAUGCCCAUCUGACGAUGACAUGUUCCCGUUCAGUUUCAAGAGAAAACAGUUUCCAGUCAGACUCAGUUUUGCAAUGACAAUAAACAAAUCACAAGGCCAGACAAUACCAACUGUCGUCGUCUAUGUGCCUAAGCUUGUUUUCUCACAUGGUCAAUUAUAUGUCACGCUUUCUAGAGCAACCGCGACAUCAGACAUAAAGGUACUAACAGGUACACAUGAUGUGAACAAGGGGACAAAUAAAAAAAAUAAAGGGGACACAUACCCAAAGGAGAAGAAGAAAAGGAAGAAUAGGAUCAGUACAAGCAGUACAUACACAAAGAAUAUUGUCUACACAGAAGUCUUGACCAAAUAAGUAAUGCAAUUUUUCAAUUUUGUGUUUAUAAAUUCAGUUUCAACUUAGUACAUUCAUUCACGACCAACUUAAUAAUUAGUAUUACACAUUGAAUCUCUAAUUUUCUAACCUUAAAAUUACUUCUUGCAUUCUUCAGGACAAUCAAGCUAUCAACUUCGGAGUUAGAAUUCAGAACUACUUGAUUGUCUUGAAGGAGGAUGUCUUCAUGUUCUGAACCACUAACUUAUUCAUUGAUAUUUAUUUAUAUAAUAUGUCCAAUAAAUUAUUAAUUUUUAUUCAAAUAUUUGAUCACUUUGAUGAUCUCUAUUAUGGUUAUGCAAUCUAUAUAUGUAAAUUUACCAACGAUGGGUAGCUAAGGUGAAAUUGAGACUUACCAGUCAAUACAGAGACAUAUUUCUCGCCUUGGAGCUGAUGUUGUUGCACUGAUUUUUCUAAACAUCGCUUUAUCUAAGUCCAAGAAACCUGAAAAAUAUCUGACACAUUGUAAGAAAAUACAUAUCAAUUUCACAUUGUAAGAAAAUAUCUGACAAUUUCAUAAUGGAUUGAAACCCUGCAUAGUGUAGCGUUGCAUAUUUUUGAGGAAAUUGUGAUGCUCUGUUUCAUCAGGAUUAAGAUGCUUGAACAUGUAAGUAGUGUACUAGCGGCCAAUAGAUAUAUUUCUCAUGCUGACUACGUGCUAUCAAUUGUGCCAUACACAUUAUUUAGUAACUAAACAAAAAGUGUCAAAAGCUAGCCACCAAAGCAAAUCUGAAUCUGCUACUAUGCUACUACUGCCACAACUAACCAAGGUUGGAGCAUAGGGAAUAAGCUGCUCCUCCACCAACCGCAUAUAGGGGGUGACGGGGUGGGACUGAAGGAGAUUGGGAGAUCCGGAGAGGAAGUAAAGAGAGAAGAAGGGAAAUGGCACGCAUUACCUUUACAAUAUUGGAGGCAACGUCACGGAAGCAGGCAGAGGCG